rnacentral:lncRNA from 1 species
GGGAGUUUCAGCCUGCUGUGAUGUCACUGCUUCCUCUUAAAGAGGCUGUGAGGAGGACAAGCAUUGUUUGGAGAGAAGUUGGAAAAUGCUCUGGACAUUCCGUUGUAAUCUGUGUUUUUAUGGCCCCAGUGAUCUGGAUUUAGACACUGAUGAACGACACAUCUUUGGUUUUCUGAAAAUAAAACGAGCUAAGUUCACUGAGGCUGUAAAUUGGAUUACUAAGUGGCAUAGUGGGAUAGGGGUCGAUAACUUCUGCAUCGGGUGUGGCUUGCACAAAGAGGACUUUCGAUCAUCUUGACAGGUGGAUUUUACUUUGCCGCUUCAUGGAAAGCGAGGAUCAUAGCUUUUGACCUGGAGAAAACCUAUUCGCCAUCCGAAGAAGUUCACCACUUUCCUCUUGAGGCCUUGGGUGUACAAGGCAGCUCUUGUGUGCAUUCUUUGUUUCUCGCUGCUGUUUCUAUAAAGCCAUACCCAGGUAUAUAUACAUGUGGGUUUACAGUACCCAGCAGGACUAAUUUAAGUAUAUCACACCAACUUGACAAACUUCAACAUUUACUAAUUCAUGGAAUGAAUGUCAAGAUGGUUGAGUUGAGUUUCAUGCUGCUCUUGCCCAUUUUGUGUACGAAGGACAAUGGAUCCCUAUAGUACUUCAUGGUUGCUCGAAAUUAGAUAAGGCUACAAUAAUAUUGUUUAAAGGCAGCAAAGGACUGGCCCAUGUAUUCGCUUUAGUUCCAAGUAUUUUUCCAGUGAAGAUACUACAUGUGCAAGCUUAUAUACAUGGAUAUGAACAGGUUAACUGGUGUUUAUUAAUUUAUUCAUUCAUUCUUGUUUGCGUACAUUAUAGUUCUUGAAAUUGGAUUUUGAUGUCAUGUUAUUUUUCCUUGUUAUGUUUCAGUUGCAGUAGCUGACAACAAGACGACAUGGCAUGUUUAUGCAUCUGAGGCAUCUGACUUGUCCACUUAACUGUCUUCUCUAGGCAGCCAAAUGCCAAUAACGGAGUUCUUCAUGAAAUGCAGAUGGUAUAUCUGAACUUUGACGACGGUGGGAGCGUACUUUAUCUUGCAGAAUGCUCGUGUUCUCGAGCACAUGGAAACACAGCCAAGGGUCGCGGCCGGUAUGUUCCCCAUUUCAGGAUCAUGGCGCAGGCAUUGUUGAGAGGCACCUGUUGGUGUCCACUUCGUAUGUCUCUGCAGGUAUGGUCGCGUUCCAGUGUCCUUUUGAUACUCUCUGAUGAUUAUUGUGGAUUCCCCAUGUAGUUUGAUCUGGUGGUCGGCCUCGUCCGACAGUUUUUCUGUGAUUUGUUUGUGCGGCAAUGUGUUCUUGUUUAUCAUCUAUGGUAGGAACUUAUUGUUCCAGGGACUGUAGGUUUUUUUGCUAACUAGAAUGGGAACCUGGGCGGUUGAGGCUCAAGUUGUCAGUUAAGUCAACCUUUUUCUGCCGGGUUUUGAAAUGGAAGUAGUAGAGAUGUAAAUUAAUUGCAGCCUGGGCGUGGCAGGCAAUGCUAUGCUUGUCAACUGCAAUCACAUAGUGCCCUACAUCUAUGAUUGGUUUGCUUCUAUUAGCAGCACACCUAGUUCUGACGGCAUGUGUUCCUCUAGGUAUUGCUUCACAAAGCUUAUUCAUAUGCUCUCCGGUACCUCCUUUCUUGCCCAACAUAUCACACACACAGGGACAGGGUACUUCCUCGUGAAGCAGACCUCUGCUCCGAGAGCCUCGCACGGUAAGUACGUACGUCUGUUGGUCUUUGUCUUUCAGCAAUGUCCGUCUGUGGCAAAAUUUUGUGUUUUGACCCUUUUAUCAAACAAAAUCGAGAUCUGACCCCAGUUUGAAAACAUUUCGAGAUCUGACCCUUUUCCCUACUGCCACGAGGCACGGCGGUAGGAUCAUACAGCCUACCGCCGAGACCUGCGGCGGUAGCAAACUUGUCCACGUCAGCAACGAUAACGGCCUCCGUGCCCCCUCCGUCACACCCUAUCGUCGCUCCACCCGGCGGUAGGAUGUCUGAACCUACCGCCGGAGUCUCUGGCGGUAGNNNNNNNNNNNNNNNNNNNNNNNNNNNNNNNNNNNNNNNNNNNNNNNNNNNNNNNNNNNNNNNNNNNNNNNNNNNNNNNNNNNNNNNNNNNNNNNNNNNNNNNNNNNNNNNNNNNNNNNNNNNNNNNNNNNNNNNNNNNNNNNNNNNNNNNNNNNNNNNNNNNNNNNNNNNNNNNNNNNNNNNNNNNNNNNNNNNNNNNNNNNNNNNNNNNNNNNNNNNNNNNNNNNNNNNNNNNNNNNNNNNNNNNNNNNNNNNNNNNNNNNNNNNNNNNNNNNNNNNNNNNNNNNNNNNNNNNNNNNNNNNNNNNNNNNNNNNNNNNNNNNNNNNNNNNNNNNNNNNNNNNNNNNNNNNNNGAUCUUCUUCGUUUGUUGACGGAUUUUGCGGAUCGAGAUGGCCCCGAAGAAAGAAAAGUAAGCUCUUUCAAUCCCUCCAAUAAGUUUUAAUCAAACACAUUUCGAUUCAUCGCAUUAUUCGAUUCAAAUCUCUCCUAUUUGAAAAAAAAAUAACCCUAGGAUUGAUUUAGGUUGAUUCUAGAUGUUAUAUUGUGUUAGAUAUGAACUAUAUUGAAUAGUUGGUAUGGUUGUGUUAAGAUGAACCCUAGUUCAUAAUUGAUUUGAAUGUUUUUUUUAUAUGAUGGAUGAUGCAUGUUCCUAUGCUAUGAUGCAAGUAUUGGAUGUAGUGUAUGAUGAAUAUUUGAGAUGAAUAUUUGAUAUAUUUGUUAUAUGUAGUGUACGAAUCCUCAAGAUGAACCCUAGUUCUUUUUUUUUUGUUUUUUAACAAAAAAAUGAGAUUUUGCAUGUUGGAUGUUGUUGGAGAAAUAUGUGUUAUGAUGCAUUUGAACCAUGGUGAUUGCAUCUUCAUAAAAGUAUUUUAUUUAGCUCUUGAUAUAUGUAUUGUAUUUAGUUCAUGUUCAUAAUAAUCUUGAUAUAUGAUUAUUCAAAGAUUGAACUCAUAGGUUCAUCUUGAUAUAUGAGAUUAUGCAUGUUGGAUGUUGUUGGAUGUGAUUAAUUUUUGUUAUGCAUCGAUGUGUUUCGUAGUUAAUGUUGAACUCUAGUUCAUGUUGAAAAAUCUUUUGAUAUGCUUAUGCAAUUCUUUUAGGAGGCCACCUCUUGCGGACGACGUCGGCACGAAGUACACCAUGCUUGACCCUAGGUUCGACAAGCGUCACCGUGUCCGUUUCAUUGAGAAUGGAGUGGUAAUUACCAUUUCAAACCAAAUCUUUCGAAUUGAUGAAAACAAGUUGCUAACUAUUAUGUUCAUGAUAAUUAUGCUUUGGUUAUUGAUUUUCACAUAUGCUGCCACCACUACGGAUGAGGGCUCACAAGACGACGGUUAAGAUGGAGUACAACGAGCAGUACGCACCGUUCUUCAGGAGAGCCCGACUAUUCGGUUUCGUCCUGCAGUUCAAGCGUAAGCCGCCGACGCUUGUCCACUCAGCUCUCAUGGCUUUGAUCGACCGGUGGUGGCCAGAGACGCACAUCUUUCAUCUUCCAUGUGGGGAGAUGACCGUGAACCUCGAGGAUUGGGCGAUGAUUACGGCAGUACCGCUCCAGGGUCGUGCUCUCACAGGAAGAGUGGAGAGGGUGAACUGGCACGAGAGGGUUGUCAGCCUCAUCGNNNNNNNNNNNNNNNNNNNNNNNNNNNNNNNNNNNNNNNNNNNNNNNNNNNNNNNNNNNNNNNNNNNNNNNNNNNNNNNNNNNNNNNNNNNNNNNNNNNNNNNNNNNNNNNNNNNNNNNNNNNNNNNNNNNNNNNNNNNNNNNNNNNNNNNNNNNNNNNNNNNNNNNNNNNNNNNNNNNNNNNNNNNNNNNNNNNNNNNNNNNNNNNNNNNNNNNNNNNNNNNNNNNNNNNNNNNNNNNNNNGAGCACCGGAGCAAGUGCCCGGAAGAUGCCGAGCCCCGGGUGGUGGAGCAGUACGCCAGGGCCUACCUGUGGUACAUUCUCACGGAGGUAGUGUUUCCGGACUGCUCCGAGAACUCUGUCCUAUGGAUGUAUCUCGACUUCCUAAAGGACUGGGAUGCGGGGUACAGCUGGGGGGCCGCCGGACUCGCCUACCUAUAUCGUUCGGUAAGUGAAUAUCACUUUCUUUCAAAUAUUAGAUGUGUGUUGCUUUACAUUUUGACAUCUUAUCACCUGAACAUGGUUUGUAGCUUGACGACGCGACCCGGAGAGCGGAAGUCACGUCUGGUAUGUGUGGAUGUGUAUGGGGCCUCUCCAUUUGGAUGUGGGAGCGAAUCCCGGUGGGCCGUCCAGAGAAGUUGCGCUCGCGUGCAUGGACGGACUAUGGCGGAGAUGGCGAAGAUGAUCGGAACCCGACCGUCGCAUACGCUUGGGACGUGGUGCAUGUCUACACGGGCGAAUCGAAGGCCUUGUACAAGGUCUUCAGCAACGAGCUUGAUGCUCUCACGCCUUUCCAGGUAUAAGAAUUACAUUUUCACUUGAGCUUACCAUUGUUUCGAUAACACUUUCACUUGAGCCUAACAUUGUUUGAUUAUAGGUUACUUGGCGGUCGUAUAGUGAUGAUUGAGAGUUGGGGUUCGAGCUGAACAGCAUGUGCAAGCAGGACCGGCUUCUCUUCCGGUGCAUCGUGCCCAUGAUUUGUGUCUAUGCCGUGGAGUACCACUUGCCACAGCGCGUUGCCGCACAAUUUGGUAAGGUGCAACACACACCACCAACCGUCAUCGUCCGCGAUACCGGUGGCUACGACCUACACCUGUGAGUACCACAAGCCGUCCUCAUCGAUUCUAAGUUCUUAUUUUUGAUGUUUUACAUUCAUAUAAGAAGGAUGUUUUACAUUCUUUCUUAUGCAUUACAGGAUGAGCAGGCAGAAGAAUCAAUCAAUCACGGAUUGGGAAGCCGAAAAUGCGAGAUACGUGCAUGAAUGGAACGAGUGGAAAACACGCAAAGACACGGAGAGGAGAGUGAUUGACUGGGACGACUACGAGGAUCACAUGUUGUGGUACGACGAUGGCAUCAAGCAUCGUCUGCGUCUGAGGCCCCAAUGGACGACAGCAGAUGCCGAAGACCUGUUCGAUGAUGCCUCAGAGAAUGAAGCCUACAACGAGAGCAUCAGACAGCUUCAAGGCGGGUUUAGGGAGUACAGACCCCUCAUGAACAGAGUGGUAUGUUGUUUUUACCUCUUUCGAACCACAGCAUGUGAAAUCAGCUUUUCGUGCUAUUGACUCAUUUUAUUACUUUGCAGUCUUCGGAGCUGAACAAAAGCAUUUUUCAUGCCUCUGAUGCGCUUAGUGUUGUCCCUGGGACUCGAGCUAGUGAGAACAAGUUGAGGGAAACGAUGAAGGUAAUACGGAGUUCAUUUUCGUUAUCAUUGGACAUUCGAGAAGUUAACAUAUUCUUCCGUUUUCAUUGCAGAAAUACGUCAACAAAGCACGCCGGCUUGUGGGCCUACUUGGGUGUGCUACAAACACCGAGGAUGUUUUUCCUCCUGCACCGAUGUGUAGCCUCGCUUCAUCGAGCCAUGCAGCCUCGUCGUCUAGGGCGGCUCAAGAUGACGAGGAGGAGAACGACGACGAUGAUGAUGAUGCAGAGGAAGAGGAAGAAGAGGGCGCAGAAGAAGAGGGCGUCGAAGAAGAACAUGGUGAGGAAGAGGAAGAGCACGAUGAGGAUGAGGAGGAGGAGGAGUACGAUGAUGACGAUGGACCUCCAGUAACUCAGCCAACCGAGCGUGAGAAGAGGAAUAUGCCAAAGAAGGACUGGCAGAGUCCAUCCCCAUUUCAGAAAGCACGUCCUGCGGCCCGCAAGAAGACAACGGCCAAGAAGCGAUCCAAGGAUAACGAGGACCAAAAUUCGAAGAGGGGAAGGAAGGACUGAAGUUGCUGCCGUGUCGUUGAACUAAAAACUUGCAUAUUUGCUUCGUGAACCAUAUGAAUUUGCUCGUGAAACUGUUUCGUUAAAUUGCUAUGUACCAAACCUACCUUAUUUAUAGAUUUGUGGUGUGUGCAUCAUAUAUCAUAUAUUGUGUGCUUUAUAUGUCAUACAUAUGUUGUUUAAAUGUUGUAUGCCAAAAAUUGAAGACAAAAGAAGUUAGAAGGUGCAAAAAAUGCACACAAAGGCACCCUACCGCCAUAGGGCGCGGCGGUAGCAGACCACAGCCUACCGCCAUCAGACCCGACGGUAGGUGCCUCCCCCCACACCGAUCUUCUGUGACCAAAAAAUCGAGCAGCGCAGCGGUAGGGUUGCGCACCCUACCGCCAGGGANNNNNNNNNNNNNNNNNNNNNNNNNNNNNNNNNNNNNNNNNNNNNNNNNNNNNNNNNNNNNNNNNNNNNNNNNNNNNNNNNNNNNNNNNNNNNNNNNNNNNNNNNNNNNNNNNNNNNNNNNNNNNNNNNNNNNNNNNNNNNNNNNNNNNNNNNNNNNNNNNNNNNNNNNNNNNNNNNNNNNNNNNNNNNNNNNNNNNNNNNNNNNNNNNNNNNNNNNNNNNNNNNNNNNNNNNNNNNNNNNNNNNNNNNNNNNNNNNNNNNNNNNNNNNNNNNNNNNNNNNNNNNNNNNNNNNNNNNNNNNNNNNNNNNNNNNNNNNNNNNNNNNNNNNNNNNNNNNNNNNNNNNNNNNNNNNNNNNNNNNNNNNNNNNNNNNNNNNNNNNNNNNNNNNNNNNCCCACUCCGAUCUUCUUCGUCGAUUCACGGAUUUUGCGUAUCGAGAUGGCUACGGAAAGAGGAAGGUAAGCUCCUCCAAUCCCCCAAUUAGUUUGAGUCAAUCGAUCCGCUUUCUUAUAGCCAUAUGAGGAACCCUCUCUAGUUGAUAUGAUGAACCCUAAACCUAGAUGAUUGCAAUGUGAUGAACCUAGUUGAUGAACCCUAGGUUUAGUCUUUCUUAUAGCCAUACGAGGAACCCUCUCUAGUUGAUAUGAUGAACCCUAGAACCUAGAUGAACCCUAGAACCUAGAUGAAUCCCAGAACCUAGAUGAACCCUAGGUUUAGUCUUUCUUAUAGCCAUAUGUGAUGAUUUAUUGUGUGAAUAUUGUAGAUAUUUGUUUUGCUUGCAUUAGAACAAAUAUUGAUGUUUAAUUAACUUUAUCCAAUCAAUACUUAUAUAAGGAACAUGGCGCCACCACCACCACUUGAUGAGGAUGAUGACUAUGAAGACCCACUUGAGGAAGCCAUCUGUGCUCAAAGAGUGAGGCUGAGCGAACAGGAGGUGUGCAACCUAUGGGACAACUUUCUGCCACGUGCUGAGUUGAUCGGGGCGCCAUUCGUGACCUGUCUGACAAGUACCAUGAUCGAUCGACAUGUCAUGGUAUGUUAUUAGUGUAGAAUCCAAGGAAUUGUUAAUAGUUUAGAUAAUCCAAACUUAUUAAUUGAUAUGUUUUUCUUAUUCAAAAAUUGCCAAAGAGCCUAUCUGAGAGUUGUGGCAUCGAGGCUGAUGAAGAAGGCUAUGCUGGAAUACGCCUUACCGCAAGGGGCCCCGUCACUACUUGUGCGUACAGUGUGGAAACGGACGGUCGCACACAUUUAAUGGUGGAAGAGCUUCCACGUUGACAAGAAUCUUCAUGUUGGACAGGCCAUCCUUAUUACUAUCCAGAAAACCAACCAUCAAGACUUGAAGAUGAUGAUCGUCAUCGAUAUCAUCUAAACUAUAUAUGCGUGUGGCUGCUGAUGAUCGUCAUGUUUGAUUGCUACCUAUGGAUGAAACCUUUUAUGCGGUCGAUGACCGUUGAACUUGUUAAACUUCUUAUGUUGCCUUCGAACUAUGUUAUGUUAUUUGGUUAAACUAUGUUAUGUGAUCAAACUAUGUUAUUUGGUACUUGUUUCUUAGUCCGUAAUGGCAAAACUUUUUGGAUGUGAUCAAACUAUGUUAUGUCUAUGAAAUUGUGCUUAUUGUUUCUUAUGUCUAUGGCAAAAAAAUUGAAGACAAAAUCAAAGUAGUUAAGUUCAUGCGGACUAUGAUACCCUACCGCCAGGGCACUCGACGGUAGGUUUGUGUGGGCUACCGCCGUGGGCUUUGGCGGUAGGUACAUAAGCAGUCGUUAACCGUUUGACGCCCGUCAGGCACACCUACCGCCGGAACCUGCAGCGGUAGACUGUGCAACCCUACCGCCCGAGGGUCUGACGGUAGCAAAAGGGUCAGAUCUCAAAAUGUUUUCAAACUGGGGUCAGAUCUCGAAUUUGUUUGACAAAAGGGUCAAAACACGAAAUUUGGCCUCCGUCUGUUGUUGUUGUGCCGUCGUCUGUCUUUCCUCUCCACGCCAGAUCAAGGAAACAGUGGCAAUGAUCUGAUGGUUGACAUGUUCUAGGUCCGGAUCCCAGGCCGGGUCUCUGCUGCCAUGCCAUGGUCGAAGACGUUAGCCCAGAUGUCGUGGGCAUGGAUGGACAUGACAACGAGCUUCCCAACGAGGAACCGGCGUUUUUGCCGGCUGAAUGACCUCACAAUGCGCCUGCCUGCACGGCUCUUCCUCGGCAGGUACCAGGAGGACCUACCUGCUCGUGCCUUGAUUAGGCCGUUCAACCAGCAAAACAGCGGCGGUCGUCAGUGACGGCGGGCCUGGUGGUGUCGAAGCCCUCACGGCACAUCGAGGCGCAGUGUUGGAAACGAGAGUUUGGCAAUGCUUCACGAUGUAUUGAUCGGUGCAUAGCGCACGUAUAUAUGGAGUACAAGGUAGGCCACAACCUCAACUAUACAAUGACUAGGAGGUGGGCCGGGCUAUACAAUAUACAUGCACAAACCAUAUAUUCAACACCUCCCACAGUCGAAGCGUCGCCGGAGACGCAAAGACUGGACAUGAACUCCUCGAAGACAGAAGUAGGCAGUCCUUUUGUCAUGACGUCGGCGAACUGUUGCGCCGUCGGGACGUGGAGGACCCGGAUGCGCCCAAGAGCCACCUACUCACGAACGAAGUGUAUGUCGAGCUCAAUAUGCUUCGUUCGACGAUGGUGGACCGGGUUGGCGGAGAGGUACACGGUGGAGACGUUGUCGCAGUAGACGAGCGUGGCCUUGUGAACAUCACAAAGCAACUCCUGAAGCAGCUGUCGAAGCCAAGAGCAUUCAGGAACGGCGUUAGUCACUGCUCGAUACUCAGCCUUGGCACUCGAGCGGGAGACGGUGGGCUGUCGCUUGGAGGACCAAGAGAUCAGGGACGACCCAAGGUAGACACGGUACCCCAAGGUGGAGCGCCGUGUGUCCGGGUAGCCGGCCCAGUCCGCAUCAGAAUAGGCGACAAGGUCAGUGGAGGCAGAGGCCGUCAGUGUAAGUCCUAGGGACUGGGUGAAGGAAAUAUGCCCUAGAGGCAAUAAUAAAGUUAAUAUUUAUUUCCUUAUUUCAUGAUAAAUGUUUAUUAUUCAUGCUAUAAUUGUAUUAACCGGAAACAUAAUACAUGUGUGAAUACAUAGACAAACAUAGUGUCACUAGUAUGACUCUACUUGACUAGCUUGUUAAUCAAAGAUGGUUAAGUUUCUUAACCAUAGACAUGAGUUGUCAUUUGAUUAACGGGAUCACAUCAUUAGAAGAAUGAUGUGCUUGACAUGACCCAUUCCGUUAGCCUAGCACUUGAUCGUUUAGUAUAUUGCUAUUGCUUUCUUCAUAACUUAUACAUGUUCCUGUAACUAUGAGAUUAUGCAACCCCCGUUUACCGGAGGAACACUUUGGGUGCUACCAAACGUCACAACGUAACUGGGUGAUUAUAAAGGAGUACUACAGGUGUCUCCAAAGGUACAUGUUGGGUUGGCGUAUUUCGAGAUUAGGUUUUGUCACUCCGAUUGUCGAAGAGGUAUCUCUGGGCCCUCUCGGUAAUGCACAUCACUAUAAGCCUUGCAAGCAAUGUAGCUAAUGAGUUAGUUACGGAAUGAUGCAUUACGUAACGAGUAAAGAGACUUCCAGUAACGAGAUUGAACUAGGUAUUGGAUACCGACGAUCGAAUCUCGGGCAAGUAACAUACCGGUGACAAAGGGAACAACGUAUAUUGUUAUGCGGUUUGACCGAUAAAGAUCUUCGCAGAAUAUGUAGGAGCCAAUAUGAGCAUCCAGGUUCCGCUAUUGGUUAUUGACCGAGAAUAGUUCUAGGUCAUGUCUACAUAGUUCUCGAACCCGUAGAGUCCGCACGCUUAACGUUACGAUGACAGUUUUAUUAUGAGUUUAUAAGUUUUGAUGUACCGAAGGUUGUUCGGAGUCCCGGAUGUGAUCACUGACAUGACGAGGAGUCUCGAAAUGAUCGAGACAUAAAGAUUGAUAUAUUGGAAGCCUAUAUUUGGAUAUCGGAAUGGUUCCGGGUGAAAUCGAGAUUUUACCGGAACACCGGGGGUUACCGGAACCCUCCCGGGGGUUAAUGGGCCUUAGUGGGCCAUGAGGGAGAAGAGGAGGGCCGGCCAGGGCAGGCCGCGCGCCCCCUCCCCCCUAGUCCGAAUAGGACAAGGAAGGGGGGGCGCCCCCCUUUCCUCUUUCCCCUCCCCCCUUUCCUUCUCCACCAAGGCAAGAGGGGGGAGUCCUACCCCCGAUGGGAGUAGGACUCCUCUAGGCGCACCCCUAGGGGGCCGGCCGCACCUCCCCCCUCCCUCCUUUAUAUACGGGGGCAGGGGGCACCCUAGAAGACACAAGUUGAUCUACGUGAUCGUUCCUUAGCCGUGUGCGGUGCCCCCCUCCACCAUAUUCCACCUCGAUCAUAUCGUCGCGGAGUUUAGGCGAAGCCCUGCGCCGGUAGAACAUCAUCAUCGUCACCACGCCAUCGUGCUGACGGAACUCAUCCCAACACUUUGCUGGAUCGGAGUCCGGGGAUCGUCGUCGAGCUGAACGUGUGCUGAACUCGGAGGUGCCGUACGUUCGGUACUUGGAUCGGUCGGAUCGUGAAGACGUACGACUACAUCAACCGCGUUGUCAUAAUGCUUCCGCUUACGGUCUACAAGUGUACGUGGACAUUACUCUCCCCUCUCGUUGCUAUGCAUCACCAUGAUCUUGCGUGUGCGUAGGAAUUUUUUUGAAAUUACUACGUUCCCCAACAGUGGUAUCAGAGCCUAGGUUUUAUGCGUUGAUGUUAUAUGCACGAGUAGAACACAAGUGAGUUGUGGGGAAUACAAGUCAUACUGCUUACCAGCAUGUCAUACUUUGGUUCAGCGGUAUUGUUGGAUGAAGCGGCCUGGACCGACUUUACGCGUACGCUUACGCGAGACUGGUUUUACCGCCGUGCUUUGCACACAGGUGACUAGCGGGUGUCUGUUUCUCCAACUUUAGUUGAACCGAGUGUGGCUACGCCCGGUCCUUGAGAAGGUUAAAACAGCACUAACUUGAUGAACUACCGUUGUGGUUUUGAUGCGUAGGUAAGAACGGUUCUUGCUCAACCCAUAGCAGCCACGUAAAACUUGCAACAACAAAGUAGAGGACGUCUAACUUGUUUUCGCAGGGCAUGUUGUGAUGUGAUAUGGUCAAGACGUGAUGAGAUAUAAGUUGUUGUAUGAGAUGAUCAUAUUUUGUUGAAGUUAUCGGCAACUGGCAGAAGCCCUAUGGUUGUCUCUUUGUUGCAUAAGAUGCAAGUGCCAAAUAAUUGCUUUACUUUAUCGCUAUACGAUAGCAAUAGUUGCAAGAGCAAUAGUUGGCGAGACGACCAUGUGAUGACACAUUGAUAUAGAUCAAGAUGAUGAAGAUCAUGGUGUCGUGCCGGUGACGAUAGAGAUCAUGACAGUACUUUGGAGAUGGAGAUCAAAGGCGCAAGAUGAUCAUGGCCAUAUCAUGUCACAUAUUUUGAUUGCAUAUGAUGUUUAUCUGUUAUACAUCUAAUUUUGCUUAGUUCGAUGGUAGCAUUUUAAGAUGAUCUCUCACUAAUUAUCAAGAAGUGUUCUCCCUGAGUAUGCACCGUUGCGAAAGUUCUUCGUGCUGAGACACCACGUGAUGAUCGGGUGUGAUAGGCUCUACGUUCAAAUACAACGGGUGCAAAACAGUUGCACACGCGGAAUACUCAGGUUAAACUUGACGAGCCUAGCAUAUAACAGAUAUGGCCUCGGAACACGGAGACCGAAAGGUCGAGUGUGAAUCAUAUAGUAGAUAUGAUCAACAUAGUGAUGUUCACCAUUGAAACUACUCCAUCUCACGUGAUGAUCGGACAUGGUUUAGUUGAUUUGGAUCACGUGAUCACUUAGAGGAUUAGAGGGAUGUCUAUCUAAGUGGGAGUUCUUAAGUAAUAUGAUUAAUUGAACUUUAAUUUAUCAUGAACUUAGUCCUGGUAGUAUUUUGCAAAUUAUGUUGUAGAUCAAUAACUCGCGUUGUUGCUUUCAUAUGUUUAUUUUGAUAUGUUCCUAGAGAAAAUUGUGUUGAAAGAUGUUGGUAGCAAUGAUGCGGAUUGGAUCCGUGAUCUGAGGUUUAUCCUCAUUGCUGCACAGAAGAAUUAUGUCCUUGAUGCACCGCUAGGUGACAGACCUAUUGCAGGAGCGGAUGCAGACGUUAUGAACGUUUGGCUAGCUCAAUAUGAUGACUACUUGAUAGUUUUGUGCACCAUGCUUUAUGGCUUAGAACCGGGACUACAAAAACGUUUUUGAAACAUCAUGGAACAUAUAAGAUGUUUCAAGAGAUGAAAUUGGUAUUUCAGACUCAUGCCCGUGUCAAGAGGUAUGAGACCUUUGACAAAUACUUCGCCUAAAAGAUGGAGGAGAAUUGCUCAACUAGUGAGCAAGUACUUAGAUUGUCUGAGUACUACAAUCGCUUGAAUCAAGUGGGAGUUAAUCUUCCAGAUAAGAUAGUGAUUGGCAGAGUUCUCUAGUCACCAUCACCAAGUUACUGGAACUUCGUGAUGAACUACAAUGCAAGGGAUAACGAAAAUGAUUCCCGAGCUCUUCGUGAUGCUGAAAUCGACGAAGGUAGAAAUCAAGAAAAGAGCAUCAAGUGUUGAUGGACAAGACCACUAGUUUCAAGAAAAGGGCAAAGGGAAAGAAAGGGAACUUCAAGUAGAAUGACAAGCAAGUUGUCAGUCCCGUGAAGAAGCCCAAAGUCUGGACCUGAGCCUAAGACUAAGUGAUUCUACUGCAAAGGGACUGGUCACUGGAAGUGGAACUACCCCAAGUAUUUGGCGGAUAAGAAGGAUGGCAAAGUGAACAUAGGUAUAUUUGAUAUACAUGUUAUUGAUGUGUACUUUACUAGUGUUUAUAGCAACCCCUUGGUAUUUGAUACUGGUUCAGUUGCUAAGAGUAGUAACUUGAAAUGGGAGUUGCAGAAUAAACAGAGACUAGUUGAGGGUGAGGUGACGAUGUGUUUUGGAAGUGGUUCCAAGAUUGAUAUGAUCAUCAUCGCACACUCCCUAUACUUUCGGGAUUAGUGUAAAACCUAAAUAAAUGUUAUUUGGCGUUUGCGUUGAGCAUGAAUAUGAUUUGAUCAUGUUUAUUGCAAUACGGUUAUUCAUUUAAAGUCAGAGAAUAAUUGUUGUUCUGUUUACAUGAAUAAAACCUUCAAUGGUCAUACACCCAAUGAAAAUGGUUUGUUGGAUCUCGAACGUAGUGAUACACAUAUUCAUAAUAUUGAUGCCAAAAGAUGCAAAGUUGAUAAUGAUAGUGCAACUUAUUUGUGGCACUGCCGUUUAGGUCAUAUUGGUGUAAAGCGCAUGAAGAAACUCCAUGCUGAUGGGCUUUUGGAAUCACUUGAUUAUGAAUCACUUGAUGCUUGUGAACCAUGCCUCAUGGGCAAGAUGACUAAGACUCCGUUCUCCGGAACAAUGGAGCGAGCAACAGAUUUGUUGGAAAUAAUACAUAUUGAUGUAUGAGAUCCAAUGAGUGUUAAUGCUCGUGGCAAGUAUCGUUAUUUUCUGACCUUCACAGAUGAUUUGAGCAGAUAUGGGUAUAUCUACUUGAUGAAACAUAAGUCUGAAAUAGUUGAAAAGUUCAAAGAAUUUCAGAGUGAAGUGGAAAAAUCAUCGUAACAAGAAAAAUAAAGUUUCUACGAUCUGAUCGUGGAGACAAAUAUUUGAGUUAUGAGUUUGGUCUUCAUUUGAAACAAUGUGAAAUAGUUUCGCAACUCAUGCCAUCUGGAACACCACAAUGUAACCACAAUGUAAUGGUGUGUCCGAACGUCAUAAUCGUACUUUACUAGAUAUGGUGCAAUCUAUGAUGUAUCUUACCGAUUUACCACUAUCGUUUUGGGUUUAUGCAUUAGAGACAGUUGCAUUCACGUUUAAAUAGGGCACCAUCGAAAUCCGUUGAGACGACGCCUUAUGAACUGUGGUUUGGCAAGAAACCAAAGUUGUCAUUUCUUAAAUUUUGGGGUUGCGAUGCUUAUGUGAAAAAGUUUCAACCUGAUAAGCUCGAACCCAAAUCAGAGAAGUACGUCUUCAUAGAAUACCCAAAGGAAACUGUUGGGUACACCUUCUAUCACAGAUCCGAAGGCAAAAUCUUUGUUGCUAAGAUGGAUCCUUUCUAGAGAAGGAGUUUCUCUCGAAAGAAGUGAGUGGGAGGAAAGUAGAGCUUGAUAAGGUAAUUGUACCUUCUCCCGAAUUGGAAAGUAGUUCAUCACAGAAAUCAGUUCUUGUGAUUCCUACACCAAUUAGUGAGGAAGCUAAUGAUGAUGAUCAUGAAGCUUCAGAUCAAGUUACUACCGAACCUCGUAGGUCUUCCAGAAUAAGAUCUGCACCAAAGUGGUACGGUAAUCAUGUUCUAGAAGUCAUGUUACUAGACCAUGAUGAACCUGCGAACUAUGAGGAAGCGAUGAUGAGCCCAGAUUCCUCAAAAUGGCUUGAGGCCAUAAAAUCUGAGAUAGGAUCCAUAUAUAAGAACAAAGUGUGGACUUUGGUUGACCUGCUCGAUGAUCAGCAAGUCAGGUUAAAUAAAUGGAUCUUCAAGAGGAAGACGGACACUGAUAGUAGUGUUACUAUCUACUAAGCUCGACUUGUUGCGAAAGGUUUUCGACAAGUUCAAGGUGUUGAAUAUGAUAAGAUUUUCUCACUCGUAACGAUGCUUAAGUCUGUCAGAAUCAUGUUAGCAAUUGCCACAUUUUUUGAAAUCUGGCAAAUGGAUGACAAAACUACAUUCCUUAAAUGGAUAUUUCUUAAAGAAGUGUUGUAUAUGAUACAACCAGAAGGUUUUGUAAAUCCUAAGGGUGCUAACAAAAUGUGCAAGCUCCAGCGAUCCAUCAAUGGACUGGUGCAAGCAUCUCGGAGUUGGAAUAUACGCUUGGAUGAGUUAAUCAAAGCAUAUGGUUUUAUAUAGACUUUUAGAAAGGCUUGUAUUUACAAGAAAGUGAGUGGGAGCUCUAUAGCAUUUCUGAUAUUAUAUGUGGAUGACAUAUUAUUGAUUGAAAAUGAUAUAGAAUUUCUAGAUAGCAUAAAAGGAUACUUGAAUAAAAAAAAUCAAAGAAAGACCUCAGUAAAGCUACUUACAUAUUGAGCAUCAAGAUCUAUUAAGAUAGAUCAAGACGCUUGAUAAGUUUUUCAAUAAGUACAUACCUUGUCAAGAUUUUGAAAUAGUUCAAAAUGGAACUGUCACAUCCCUAGAUCUGUUAUGCUCUGGUCUAGUUAGUCCUGCGCUGCAUCAUGUUUAAAUUUCUUUUAAACCUGAAAUUGGGAUUGCCUAAACCCUAGCAUCAAAGGAAUUCACUAGGUUCAACUAAAAUAAUUUCAGUGAAUCCAAAUGGCUUUCAAAAAUGUUCAUCAUUUCUGGAAAAUGCUAGAAACAAUAACCAGAGGUGUUGCACAUUUUUCCAUGACAUAUUUGGGCUCUGAAUUAAAUCUUAUAGUAUUUGCAUUUGGGCAUUUAAAUGCUAUUAAAUAUUUUAAAUGCUCAAAUAGUCAUAAACUAAAAUGUUUACUAUUGGAUAUAUUCCAAACAGUAGUCAUGAUUAGUUUCAUGAUUUUUGGAAAUUCCCUCGCAUUUUUAUUAAAGCCAAACACAAUUACAAAAAAUAGAAAAUGGAAAUAAAAGGAGAGAGAGGUUACCUGUGCAACUUACCUGGCAGCCCAGCUGGCCCAGCACUGUAGCUGAGGCCCAGCCCACUAGGGCGAAGCGGUCGUCUUCAACCCCUGCCAGUAGGCAGAGGCGUGUCGACGCGCGAGCGAUCGUCGUGGCCACCUCCCUGCUUGCUUCCUCUCUUCGCUGACCCUUCUCGAGACGCCACGGAGACGCCCGAACCUCCUGGACCCCUCUCACUCUCCCUGUGCUCCUCCUCCUCCUCUGUUUCUCUCUCCCGCGCAGUCCGAGCGCAGCCAUCACCGCCGUCCGCACCACCGCAGCCAUAGCCGACCCCGUGCCUCUCCGUGCUGACAAUGCCGUCUGCCUCGACGCCGUGAAGUUUUCCCCUCAACAAGCGCAAGCCCGGACGCCCUGCAACACCGACACCACCGUCGUCUUCCUCCUCGAGCUCCGACCACCACUGCUAUCGAUUCGCCGCACGCAGGACACCCCCGAGCCCGCUGAGCUUCUCUUCGACCUCGCAGUGAGCUCCUUAUCCUAACCCCUCUCUUUUCCCUCGCAUUUGCGAGCUCCAGGACGCAUCUCCGCCAUGGCCGAGAGCUCGGCUCUGCCGUGCAUGUCGUCGUCGCUGUUCUAGCCGCCUCCGCUUGCGUCCGAGCCCACCCUCGUGAUCAGCAAGCCCCUAGGAGUCGAACGCACCCACUCACCUAUUCUUCCAUGCCCCGUAGCGCCGUCUCGAAGCACCUCCAAGCUCCGGUCGCCGCCCGGCUCGUCGCCGCCGCAGUUACACACCGCCCUGGCUCCUUCCGCUUGCGCCCCUAGAUGCGGGCGAGCGAGGGCUCCCUCCUGGUGCCCUCAGCGCACUCAGCCGCUGCCCCUAGCACCACCCCGGCGAGCCGCCACCGCACUGGAUGGUCGCCGGCGGCUAACCCCAUCCAUGACGACGUGGCACAUCAUUAGGGGCUAACCACCACGCUUUAAAACCCCCAAGGGUCAAUGACAGUCGGGCCCCAUACCUUAAUUAACCACAGGGUUAUUUCCCUCUUUAACUUAAGCUAAUGUCGUGGGCCCACCUGUUAGUUUGACCUCGCCACCUCAGCGUUGACCUGGCCCCACUGGUCAGCCUCUCCUACGACACUGUUAGACUGACAUGAGGGACCCACAGGUCAGGUUUGACCUGGGUCAGCGCAGUUGACCUGUUGACGUCAUGCUGACGCAAUAUUUGAUUUCUGGAUUUAUUUUAGUUUCGAAAAUUCUAGAAAAUGCUAUUAACUUCUAAAAAUCAUAGAAAAUCAACCGUAACUCAGAAUGAAAUAAGUUAUAUAUGAAAAAUGAUCAGAAAAAUCCAAUCUAUCCAUUUGUACCAUUUUCAUGCAUGUUAGAACAACUAUAGCUGCUGUUUAGCACAAAUCAUAUAAAUGGCAUUUAAACCUUCACAUAUGGAGUUUGAAUUUGAAUCUUGGAUUCAAACCAACUUCAUUUAAUCUGUUCUAAGUUGCAUUAGCCAAAACACACUCAUUUUUCCAUGUCAUAUUCAUGCAUCAUAUUGUUGCAUUGCAUUGAUUGUGUUUCUUCUUUGUUUGUCGGUAUUUGUCCCCUCUUAGUAGACGAUGUUCUGACGAUGAGUUCGAUGACACCGAUGAAGAACUAUACUAUCUUCAGAAGUGCCAGGCAAGCAAAACCCCCUUGUUCAUUCCGAUACAAUCCCACUCUCUCGCUCCUGCUCUCUUUUACUGCAUUAGGACAACAACGAUUCAUCUGUUACUUGCUGCGGUAGCUGAACCCCUUUAUCCUCUGCAUGACCUGUCAUUGCCACAGUAAAUAGAUGAAACCCACUAGCAUGAGUAGGAGUUGUUUGAGCCCUGAUGUGCCUACUCAUUCAUGCUUGUUUGUCAUGCCUGCUAUUGCUUAGAGUUGUGUCAGGUCUGAUUCAUCGGGGAUGAAUUGGAGGUGUGUGAACAUGUCCUACUGUUGAGAGCUAAGUGUGUGAACACGAUUUGGUAAAGGUAGCGGUGAGAGGCCAUGUAGGAGUACAUGGUGGGUUGUCUCAUUGAAGCCGUCCUUAGGAACUGAGUUCUGUGUUUGUGAUCCAUGAACAGUUACUACCACACAUUGGGCUCCGGGCACUCCAAGCUCUCUCGACUUACUAAUCAACUUGAUCUCUGUCCAGGAGUUGCAACUAGUUUCUGGUGUUUGUAGGUAGUGUUAGUAGUCUACCAAGUGGCACCCAGUACAGGUGGGCUUGGGACAGACUAGGCACCAUGGCACGGUGUACCAAGCGUAGAUCCACCCGUCGAGGUGGGCUUGGGAACCCUGCACACAUCGUUUGGGGCCGUGAGCGACACCCCGGCCGGAUCUCCUUGCACAUGGAACCCGAAUAGGCGAUAAACCUGGACGAGAGACUUGUGUGGUUAGUCAGGUCGUGGCCGACACCCUCGUUGGGCUUCCGCUUGAAGGUUGCCGAGUACAUGUCGUGUAAACAGCGAUAAGUGGUGAGAGCGUGUGUGAAGAAGUACACCCCUGCAGGGUUAACAUUAUCUAUUCGAAUAGUCGUGUCCGCAGUAAAGGACUUCUGGGUUGCCUGUACAGUUCAUAGACAAGUGAAAGUGGAUAAUCUAAAAUAUGCAAGAUAAGCGUGAGUGCUAUGGAUGGCGUUCUCGUAGGGAGACGGGAGCGGAUCCAUAGUGGUGUAUUGAUAUGGUGAAUAUGUGGACUCGUGUGCGCCACCUCAAAAGAGUUACUUGCAGUCGUAGUUCAGGAUAGCCACCGAGUCAAAGCUGGCUUGUUGCAGUUAAACCCCACCAUCCCCUUGUUGAUAAUGAUGCAUAUGUAGUUAGAUCUGAUGUAAGUCUUGCUGGGUACAUUUGUACCCACGUUGCUUAAUUUAUGUUUUUGCAGAGAGACUUCAGUCUCACUAGUAGUUCCACGUGGACUUCGACGUUUAGCUUGUUACCUCAGCUACGAUCUUGUGCCCUCGGCAGGAUCUGGUAGAUAGUCAGGCUUCUCAGCCUUUUUCAUUUGUAGAUGUUUGUACUCAGACAUGUUAAGCUUCUGCAUGUGCUUUGACUUGUAUGCUCUGAUUGUUGGGUCAUGAGACCCAUGAUUGUAAUAUCUCGCUCCUCGGAGCCUAUUGAAUAAAAUACUUGAGUCGUAGAGUCAUGUUGUGAUGCCAUGUUGUAUUUGCACAUAUCGAGCAUAUUGUGUGUAUGUUAUUGAAAUGCUUCAUAUGUGUGGGAUCUGACUAUCUAGUUGUUUAUCCUUGGUAGCCUCUCUUAUCGGGAAAUGUCUCCUAGUGCUUCCACUGAGCCUUGGUAGCUUGCUACUACUCCAGAACACUUAGGCUGGCCGGCAUGUGUCCUUAUUCAUUCUUGUAUAUGUCCCCUCGGGGAAAUGUCACGCGGUGUCUACCGGAGUCCUGUUAGCCUGCUACAGCCCGGUUUGCCGGAGUCCUGCUAGCCCAGUUGCUACAGCCCGGAUUCACUCGCUGAUGACCGACACGUUCGUUGUUGGGUCAUGUAUGCCUGUCCCUGUAAGUUAGUGCCACUUUGGGUUCACGACUAGCCAUGUCAGCCCAGAUUCUUUGUCAUAUGGAUGCUAGCGACACUAUCAUAUACGUGAGCCAAAAGGCGCAAACGGUCCCGGGCCAGGUAAGGUGGCACCCGUGGGAAUACCGUGCAUGAGGCCGCAAAGUGAUAUGAUGUGUUACAUGCUAGAUCGGUGUGACUUAGGAUCGGGGUCCUGACAGCUUUGGUAUCAGAGCUUGACUGCGUGUAGGAUUACCAAGCCAAAUUGGUUGAAAUUGAGUCUAAAAAUUCUUUAGUUAUAUAAGGGAAUUGAUUGUGGGAUGGAACGUAAGGCUCUUUUUACUCCUUAUACCUUAUGCCCUUCUGAUCUUAGUCAUCUUAUCUUUCCUACGGGGUUAAGGAACUAGGAUUUCUCAUCUUUCUAUUAGGAUCACGUGAUGCUAAUCCGUAGACUUGUAAGAUUGUUGGAUUCAAGCCUCAGUUCAGUUCCUACUAUUUCCGUAUGUUGACAGUUGGUCUCGGAACCUUGAUAUUAUGAUGUCGAGUGGUUAUGCCACCACUUUGUAGGUUGUCUCAAAUCUUUUUCGAGCAUUUACAGCCGUUAUGCUGUCCGAGUCAUCCCAGGUUUCUAAAUAAUCUGAUGCAAUUGCAAAAUCCUUUCCCUCUGUUUUCGAUGACCUUUCUGGCCAGGUUAACCACACUAAACGAUGAGUUGAGGUACUCUAUUGCCUCGACGUAUAUGUUGGAGCUAUUAUUAUGACCCUAGAUGUCUAGAGUAUCACCUAGUAAUCUAGCCAUGUUUUGUGUUCCAGUGUGAUGAUCCUGGCCAUUAUUCUUGAAAGCAUCCCGUGAUGCCAUUUAGUUGGUAGUUUUUCUAUUCCUGGGCUUCUGACCCGAGAUUCACUCUACCUACUUCAUGUUGUUAGUGUUUGCUAGUUCCUUUAGGAAAUUAGUAACCUUUGCAAUAGUCCUUGAAGUUCAUGGUAUUUCCUUCUUCCAAAUACUAUGAACCACUUUAUGGCAGAAGUUUGUUGGAUCAAAAGAUCACAACAGGAGUGCCCUCGAUGAGUUCUCGAUUCUAUAUUGUGACUCUGCCAGUUCAACCUUUCUGCAUGGGUUCUCCGGAAGAAAUAUGUUGAACUCGUUCGACAUGCAAAUCCAUGCAUCCACAACUCAGUAAAUCGUAUGUUCUUUCGAGUUGUCCCUCCUUAGUUGUCUUCUGACCUUCGUCUAACAAUUGAUAGUCAAGAGUAUGCGUGCACCCGUUCAUCGAUGCCUAUUGAUGAUGUUAUGUACCUAGGGUAGGGUCAUGGACCUAUCUAGGAUACCAUACCCAUGGACAUUCUUAGACGAAGCUACCUUCCAGUCGACCAAGAGGGACUCCACUCGACCAGCUAGAAGACACUCGACCAUGAAGACUCACUCGACCACCAGGAGUUUAGGAUCUACUCUGUAUCCAAACGGUCUGUAAUUAAGUAGUCUUAAUGGUCAUGAUAACACUUUAUGUAGGGCGUUACCAGUAACGCCCAGCCUUAAUGUACUUUAACCCUCUGCUACGUGGGUUGGCUGGGGUCCUGGCGUCCUCUAUAUAAGCCACCCCCUCCACUGGUAGAAGGGUUCACACCCCUGUAACUCAUAUACACAUAAACCAGUCGACCACCUCCGGGCUCCGAGACGUAGGGCUAUUACUUCCUCAGAGAAGGGCCUGAACUCGUUAAACACUCGUGUGUACAACUACUCCAUAGCUAGGAUCUUGCCUCUCCAUACCUACCCCCCAUUCUACUGUCAGACUUAGAACCACGACAGUUGGCGCCCACCGUGGGGCAGGUGUCUUAGCGACUUUUUGGAGAAGUUGCAAUUUGUCCGAUUGCCUUCAUCAUGGUUUCUGGCGGAGCACAGGUCGAGGGCCGCGAGAUCCGUCUCGGUGCGCUCGCUUUCAUCGCCGACGACUCCGCUUGGCUCCAGGAGGCACCACUCGACAUCGACGCGCUCCCCGUCCGCGGGGCGACGCACUUUCGGGUGUGUGUCCACGGCGUCCUGCUGCGGCAGCCGUCGACCCCAUACCGGUUGACUCCUGUGCCAUCCUCCCUCCCUGUCUCCCGCCAGCGCAAGCGCUCCGGUCGGUCAAGGCUCCAGCGAUGGGUGAGACACGCAGUGGCUCGCCAAUCGGCCACCACCCAAGUCGCGGCAAUUGAGCCCGACGAAUCUCUCUACGGCCUGUUCGACCUAUCGACUGGCUCCAUAGAGACUGCAUCCGAGUGCGAUAGCAGUGAUCCAGUGGCGGAGGUCCUGAUGGUCAACGGGCCUCGUAGUCCUCCCGGUUUCCCCCGCAACGACGGGACGGACGACGGGGGCGACCCCGCUCAGGCCCACGAAGAGUAUCAACCCGAGCCACUCACUUCUCAGCGGAGGGAAGAACUUCGCCGCUGGAACAUGGAUGCCCUGCAUACUCCCAUUGCAGGAGAAACUCCUGAGGACCGUGCCUUGGAAGAGGCGCGUUUGGCCAAUUUGGAUGAACGCACUCGACUGGAGAACCUCCAGCGAGCACUCGACGAGCGUGCGCGUCAACGAGUACCCGACUCCAGCCGACGUCAGCUCUUUCCGCAACCGACUCAGGUAUAUCGAACCCCGAUUCAGAAUUUGGCAGCUGCAGCCCGUAUAGCGGAGUCAAUUCAGCCCUCUCAGUCGGAGGCUGGAAGAGGCUUGAUGCAGACCAGAGAUUUGCUCUGGGCGGCAGGAGAUCGGAAUUCAGUUGUGUCACAGUCGCGCAACAGGAUUCACAGUCGAUCCGUCGCUGCGAAUACUGUUCAGUCGGCUCACAGUCCAAGGUCGCCUCCGAGGCGCGCGGGACGUGAAGGCCGGCAGGACCACUGUGAUGAUCGAUUUGAUCAUGAUGACAGGCGUCAAGUGCCUACUCCUCCCCCGAGAAGUGGGUCUAACGCCCAUCGGCAGCAAGAUGACAGACGCCAGCUCAGCGUUGGGCGGAGAGCUCUAGUCGACCCUAGAGAGCCAGGCUUUGACGUGAGAUCCAUCAUCGUGCAAGGUUUGGUCGACCGGAACAGAGCUCAUAGAGGUGGCCAUGACAGAGAUGUGCCCACAAGCAGCCGAGUCCAUGUUUCAGGUCCAGAAUGCUUUAGCAGAGCCAUCAGAGCCGCAGUGAUACCCCCCAACUUCAGGUUGGCGACUGGAGUGACUAAGUUCAUCGGAGAGUCUAAGCCUGAAACUUGGCUUGAAGACUACCGAGUGGCUGUUCAGAUUGGUGGUGGUAAUGAUGAGGUGGCCAUGAAGCAUUUGCCACUGAUGCUAGAGGGUUCGGCCAGGCCGUGGUUGAAUCAGUUAGCUCCUAGCAGCAUUUACACCUGGGAAGAUCUUUCCCGAGUGUUCGUCAGGACGUUCGAGGGAACUUGCAAGCGACCGGCCGGACUGACAAAGCUGCAAGUUUGCGUACAAAAGUCGUGUGAAACUCUAAGAGAUUACAUCCAGAGAUGGAUCACUUUGCAUCAUACUGUAGAGAAUGUGUCAGACCAUCAAGCGAUCUGCGCCUUCAAGGAUGGUGUCAAGAACAGAGAGUUGAGCCUGAAGUUUGGUCGAACUAGAGAUAUGACCCUGAGUCGGAUGAUGGAAAUAGCCACCAAGUACGCCAAUGGCGAGGAAGAGGACCGACUCCGGAGUGGCAAGUACAAGCCGAGUCAGUCGGAGAAAGGAAAUUCCAGUCGGAAGCAGAAGCGGAAGGCCGAGCCAGCUGCUCCUGGAGAGGCUCUGGCCGUGACUCAGGGCAAAUUCAAAGGGAAGCCCAAAGGAUCUUGGAACCCCAAGAAGGUAAAAGAUAAGGAAGGUAAUGACGUGAUGGAUCUACCGUGUCAUAUCCACACGAAGAAAGACGAAGAGGGUAACUUCAUCUACCCAAAGCAUACCACUCGCUAGUGCCGGCUCUUAAUCCAGAAGUUUCAAGGAAAACAGUUGAAGGACAAAGAGAAGGAGUCAGACAAGGUUGAGGACAAGGAGGAUAGUGAUGGAGAAUACCCUCAUGUCAACUCCACUUUGAUGAUUUUUGCUGAUGUAGAGAGCGAAAGUCGAUUGAAAGUGAUCAACCGUGAGGUCAAUACGGUCGCCCCGGUGACACCAAGCUAUCUGAGAUGGUCGCAAACUCCCAUCACUUUCGACCAGUCUGAUCACCCCACUCACAUUGCCACCCCUGGGAGGCAAGCGCUGGUGGUCGACCCAGUCGUCGAAGGCACUCGACUGACGAAGGUACUGAUGGAUGGCGGCAGUGGAUUAAAUAUACUGUAUGCAGAGACGCUCAAGGGAAUGGGCAUUCCGAUGUCCAAGCUCAGCUCCAGCAACAUGAGUUUCCACGGAGUCAUUCCUAGAAAGAAGGCCGAGUCACUCAGUCAAAUAGCUUUGGAUGUAGUGUUCGGUGACUAGAAGCAUUUCCGCAAAGAGAAGCUGACAUUUGAAGUCGUGGAUUUCCAGAGCGCUUACCACGCCAUUUUGGGAAGGCUAGCCUAUGCCCGCUUCAUGGCUCAACCAUGUUAUGUGUACCUCAAAUUAAAGAUGCCUGGCCCCAAAGGAGUGAUCACUAUCACCGGCAGUCAGAAGAAGGCAGAAGAGUGUUUCCAGAAAGGCUCGAAGAUCGCAAACGACCAGAUAACUGUGGUAGAGCUGGAAGGAUACAAGAAAAACGCAGAUCUGAGUGAUUUGCUGCGGGCCAAGAAGCUUGCCACGGAGUCAGCAUUCCAGUCGUCAGGGGAGACGAAGCCAGUUCAUAUCCACCCGACUGACCCCAACGCAGCUCCGACCCAUAUUUCCACAACACUCGACUCCAAAUAGGAAGAAGCGCUCAUCCAAUUCCUCCGUGAGAACUGGGACAUCUUUGCAUGGAAUCCAGCUGACAUGCCGGGUGUUCCCAGGGGACUGGCUGAGCAUCGCCUUAGAGUCGACUCAAAAGCGAAACCUGUUAAGGAACAUCUUCGACGGUCCGUUGUCCAGAAGAAAAAAGGCAUUGGCGAGGAGGUGGCUCAACUCCUUGCAGCAGAGUUUAUCCGAGAGGUGUACCACUCUGAGUGGCUCGCCAAUGUCGUCAUGGUUCCCAAGAAGGACAACUCACUUUGCAUGUGCAUUGAUUUCAAACAUACCAAUCGGGCCUGCCCGAAAGAUCAUUUUCCUCUCCCUCGCAUCGACCAAAUUGUCGACUCGACUGCGGGGUGCGAGAGAUUGUCUUUUUUAGACGCUUAUUCCGGGUAUCAUCAGAUCCGUCUGUAUGGACCUGACGAAAUCAAAACAGCUUUCAUCACUCCAUUCGGGUGCUUCUGCUAUAUCACCAUGCCAUUCGGCCUCAAGAAUGCCGGAGCCACGUUCAUGAGAAUGAUUCGGAAGUGUUUACUCACUCAAAUCAGUCGGAAUGUGGAAGCGUACAUGGAUGAUAUCAUGGUCAAGUCGUGAAAGGGUUCCGACCUAUUGACUGACCUAGCUGAAACAUUUGCCAAUCUCAGAAGGUAUGAUAUCAAGCUCAAUCCAUCAAAGUGCACAUUCGGAGUACCUAGCGGAAAGUUACUUGGUUUUCUCGUUUCAGAACGAGGAAUCGAUGCUAACCCAGAAAAAGUUGGCACCAUACUCCACAUGAAACGCCCUGUGCAUGUGCACGACGUCUAGAAGCUUACUGGAUGCUUGGCCGCUUUAAGUCGAUUCAUCUCUCGCCUCGGUGAAAAGGCAUUGCCCCUUUACCGACUGAUGAAGAAGGCAGACAAGUUCGAGUGGACUCCAGAAGCUGAUGCAGCGUUUGCCGAGUUAAAAACUCUGCUCUCCACCCAGCCGGUGCUUGCUGCUCCAAUCAGCAAAGAGCCUCUGUUGCUUUAUAUUGCAGCCACAGGACAAGUCGGCAGUACAGUACUUACGGUCGAGCGGGAAGAAGAAGGGAAAGCCUUCAAAAUUCAGCGUCCAGUGUAUUAUCUCUCUGAAGUUUUGACCCCAUCGAAGCAAAGAUAUCCUCAUUAUCAGAAGCUCGUAUAUGGGAUCUACAUGACCAUGAAGAAGGUUGCUCAUUAUUUCUCUGAUCAUGACAUUACAGUCGUCAGCGACGCACCAUUGUCAGAGAUUCUGCACAACAGAGAUGCAACUGGUCGAGUGGCUAAGUGGGCGAUUGAACUCCUUCCCCUUGAUGUCAAAUUCGAGGCAAAGAAAUCCAUUAAGUCCCAAGCUAUAGCAGAUUUCCUUGCCGAGUGGAUUGAGCAACAGUAGCCGAUUCAAGUUCACUCAGAGCAUUGGACCAUGUUCUUUGAUGGCUCUAAGAUGUUAAAUGGUUUUGGUGCUGGGGUUGUUUUGGUUUCCCCCCGAGGAGACAAGCUCAGAUAUGUGCUCCAGAUCCACUUUGAUUCCUCCAACAAUGAAGCAGAAUAUGAAGCACUCUUGUAUGGGUUGCGCAUGGCCAUUUCACUCGGCGUCCGUCAUCUUAUGGUUUAUGGUGACUCAGAUUUGGUGGUCAAUCAGGUGAUGAAGGAGUGGGACGUUAGAAGCCCAGCCAUGACUGGAUACUGCAAUGCAGUGAGGAAGCUCGAAAAGAAGUUCGAAGGGUUAGAGCUCCACCACAUACCCCGACUGAAAAACCAAGCAGCUGACGAUCUGGCGAAGAUAGGAUCCAAGAGAGAAGCCAUCCCCAGUGAUGUGUUCUUGGAGCAUACCCACACUCCGUCAGUCGUAGAAGAUCCUUUUUCCGAUGAAGCUCCGCAACCUAAGAGUGUUACAGACCCGACUGAGGUUGAAGUCCCAGCAGUGGUCGACCUGAUCAUGGAAGUUUUAGUGAUCACUCCAGAUUGGACAGUACCAUAUAUCGCGUAUAUCUUGAGGAAAGAACUCCUGGAGGACGAAGAAGAGGCUCGACAGAUCGUCCGUCGAUCUAAGGCCUUUACCGUGAUAAGAGGACAGUUGUACAGAGAAAGCGUGACUAGAGUUGGUCAGAAAUGCAUAACACCGGAGGAAGGUCGAAUAAUCCUUGAUGACAUCCACUCGGGGACCUGUGGCCAUCAUGCGUCCUCUCGGACCAUCGUGGCCAAAGCAUACCGAGCCAGAUUUUAUUGGCCAAGAGCGAAUGAAAUGGCGAAGGAGAUAGUCGACAAGUGCGAGGGAUGUCAAUUUUACUCCAAUAUGUCGCACAAGCCCGCGUCAGCUUUGAAGACUAUACCACUCGUCUGGCCCUUUGCAUUAUGGGGUUUGGAUAUGGUCGGUCCUUUGAGAACAGGCAGAAGCGGUUUUACCCAUGUGCUGGUAGCAGUCGACAAGUUCACUAAGUGGAUCGAAGCUAAACCCAUCAAGAACCUCGAUGCCGGUACUGCUGUCAGCUUCAUCAGAGAAUUAAUAUUCAGAUAUGGGGUCCCGCACAGCAUCAUCACUGACAACGGGUCAAACUUCGACUCCGAAGAGUUCAGAGCUUUCUGCACAUCUCAAGGCACGCGAGUCGACUAUGCUUCAGUCGCUCAUCCACAGUCGAAUGGACAGGCAGAACGAGCCAACGGUUUGAUUCUCAAAGGGUUGAAACCCCGUUUGAUGCGUGAUCUUAAGCAUGCGGCUGGUGCAUGGGUCGACGAACUUCCCUCGGUGCUUUGGGGGUUAAGGACCACGCCCAACCGGUCGACUGGAAGAACUCCAUUCUUCUUGGUCUACGGAGCUGAAGCAGUCUUGCCAAGCGACCUUCUCCACGAUGCUCCCCGGGUCGAGCUCUACACCGAAGCUGAAGCAGAACAAGCGCGACAGGAUGCAGUCGACCUUUUAGAAGAAGAAAGGGAGAUGGCUUUGAUCAGAUCAACCAUUUAUCAACAAGACUUGUGUUGCUUCCACGCCAAAAACAUGAAGAGUCGAGCCUUCCAGGAAGGGGAUUUAGUUCUCCGAGUGGAUCAGCAGAAACCACACAAGCUUGCUCCUUCUUGGGAAGGUCCCCUCAUCGUCACCAAGGUUCUCCACAAUGGAGCAUACCGUCUUUACAAUGUCGAGCAUCAGAUCGACGAGCCUCGAGCUUGGAACGCGGAGCUUCUCCACCCCUUUUACACUUAAGUAUUCACUCGGAUGAGUUGUAAUAAAAUUACUUCUGUAGUUUAUUUAUCAAAGACAAGAGCUUUAUAAUUUUCCCAGUAAUCGUUAUUUCUUUUGUCCACUCAAAAUAAUCCCCCAGUGGGUGGCUUGGCUGCGAAUCCGAUUCGCCCAAGUCUGUAAAAAAAAUCCUAACCGAGUGGUGAGCCAGUCUCCCACACGAAGGCUUAGCUGCAAAAUCCGUUUCGCCUAAGAUAAACAAAAUCCUACCGAGUGGUAAGCCAGCCUUCCACUCAGAGGCUUAGCUGCAGUCCAAGUACUCGCCUAAGAUAAACAAAAAUCCUACCGAGUGGUAAGCCAGCCUUCCACUCGGAGGCUUAGCUGCAGUCUAAGUACUCGCCUAAGAUAAACAAAAUCCUGUCGAGUGGUAAGCCAGCCUUCCACUCGGAGGCUUAGCUGCAGUCCAAGUACUUGAAGGAAAUAUGCCCUAGAGGCAAUAAUAAAGUUAUUAUUUAUUUCCUUAUUUUAUGAUAAAUGUUUAUUAUUCAUGCUAGAAUUGUAUUAACCGGAAACAUGAUACAUGUGUGAAUACAUAGACAAACAUAUAGUCACUAGUAUGCCUCUACUUGACUAGCUCAUUAAUCAAAGAUGGUUAUGUUUCCUAACCAUAGACAUGUGUUGUCAUUUGAUUAAUGAGGUCACAUCAUUAGGAGAAUGAUGUGAUUGACAUGACCCAUUCCGUUAGCCUAGCACUUGAUCGUUUAGUAUGUUGCUAUUGCUUUCUUCAUGACUUAUACAUGUUCCUAUAACUAUGAGAUUAUGCAACUCCCGUUUAUCGGAGGAACACUUUGGGUGCUACCAAACGUCACAACAUAACUGGGUGAUUAUAAAGGAGUACUACAGGUGUCUCCAAAGGUACAUGUUGGGUUGGCGUAUUUCGAGAUUAGGUUUUGUCACUCCGAUUGUCGGAGAGGUAUCUCUGGGCCCUCUCGGUAAUGCACAUCACUAUAAGCCUUGCAAGCAAUGUGACUAAUGAGUUAGUUACGGGAUGAUGCAUUAUGUAACGAGAAAAGAGACUUGCCGGUAACGAGAUUGAACUAGGUAUUGGAUACCGACGAUCGAAUCUCGGGCAAGUAACAUACCGAUGACAAAGGGAACAACGUAUGUUGUUAUGCGGUUUGACCGAUAAAGAUCUUCGUAGAAUAUGUAGGAGCCAAUAUGAGCAUCCAGGUUCCGCUAUUGGUUAUUGACCAAGAAUAGUUCUAGGUCAUGUCUACAUAGUUCUCGAACCCGUAGGGUCCGCGCGCUUAAGGUUUCGAUGACAGUUAUAUUAUGAGUUUAUGAGUUUUGAUGUACCGAAGGAGUUCGGAGUCCCGGAUGAGAUCGGGGACAUGACGAGGAGUCUCAAAAUGGUCGAGACGUAAAAAACGUUAUAUUGGACGACUAUAUUCGGAGUUCGGAAAGGUUCCGAGUCACUCGGGUAUUUUUCGGAGUACCGGAGAGUUACGGGAAUUCGCCGGGAGAGUAUUGGGCCUUAUGGGCCUUAGGGGAAAGGAGAGAGGGGCGGCCAGCAUGGGCCGCGCGCCCCCUCCCCCCUCUGGUUCGAAUUCGACUAGGAGGGGGGCGCCCCCCCCCCCCCUCUUUCCUUCCCCCUCUCCCCCUUCCUUCCCCCNNNNNNNNNNNNNNNNNNNNNNNNNNNNNNNNNNNNNNNNNNNNNNNNNNNNNNNNNNNNNNNNNNNNNNNNNNNCUUCCCCCUCCUAGUAGGAGUAGGAAAGGAGGAGUCCUACUCCUACUAGGAGGAGGAUUCCUCCUCCCUUGGCGCGCCCAAGGGGAUGGCCGGCCUCCCCCCUCCCUCCUUUAUAUACGGGGGCAGGGGGGCACCCCAUGACACACAAGUUGAUCUACGGAUCGUUCCUUAGCCGUGUGCGGUGCCCCCCUCACCAUAUUCCACCUCGGUCAUAUCGUCGCGGAGUUUAGGCGAAGCCCUGCGCCGGUAGAACAUCAUCAUCGUCACCACGCCAUCAUGCUGACGGAACUCAUCCCCGAAGCUUUGCUGGAUCGGAGCCCGGGGAUCGUCAUCGAGUUGAACGUGUGCUGAACUCGGAGGUGCCGUACGUUCGAUGCUUGGAUCGGUCGGAUCGUGAAGACGUACGACUACAUCAACUGCGUUGUCAUAACGCUUCCGCUUACAGUCUACGAGGGUACGUGGACGAACACUCUCCCCUCUCGUUGCUAUACCAUCACCAUGAUCUUGCGUGUGCGUAGGAAAUUUUUUGAAAUUACUACGUUACCCAACAAUACUCGCCUAAGAUAAACAAAAAUCCUACCAAGUGGUAAGCCAGCCUUCCACUCGGAGGCUUAGCUGCAGCAUUGCACUCGCCUAAGUACAAAUACAACAUGCGCUUCGCAAGGAGGACGAGGUGCAGGUCGACUGCUACCCUCUCCUUCCGAGCUACGCCACAAGUACAACAUGCGCUCUGCAAGGAGGACGAGGUGCAGGUCGACCGCUACCCUCUCCUUCCGAGCUACGCCACAAGUACAACGUGCGCUCUGCAAGGAGGACGAGGUGCAGGUCGACUGCUACCCUCUCCUUCCAAGCUACGCCACAACUACAAUGUGUGCUCUGCAAGGAGGACGAGGUGCAGGUCGACUGCUACCCUCUCCUUCCGAGCUANNNNNNNNNNCUCGGAGGCUUAGCUGCGAAAUCCGUUUCGCCUAAGGUAAACAAAAUCCUACCGAGUGGUAAGCCAGCCUUCCACUCGGAGGCUUAGCUACAGUCCAAGUACUCGCCUAAGAUAAACAAAAUCCUACCGAGUGGUAAGCCAGCCUUCCACUCGGAGGCUUAGCUGCAGUCCAAGUACUCGCCUAAGAUAAACAAAAUCCUGUCGAGUGGUAAGCCAGCCUUCCACUCGGAGGCUUAGCUGCAGUCCAAGUACUCGCCUAAGAUAAAAAAAAUCCUACCGAGUGGAAAGCCAACCUUCCACUCGGAGGCUUAGCUGCAGCAUUGCGCUCGCCUAAGUACAAAUACAACGUGUGCUCUGCAAGGAGGACGAGGUGCAGGUCGACUGCUACCCUCUCCUUCCGAGCUACGCCACAAGUACAACAUGCGCUCUGCAAGGAGGACGAGGUGCAGGUCGACUGCUACCCUCUCCUUCCGAGCUGCGCCACAAACACAACGUGCGCUUUGCAAGGAAGACGAGGUGCAGGUCGACUGCUACCCUCUCCUUCCGAGCUACGCCACCAAUACAAAAUCCUACCGAGUGGAGAGCAGACCUCUCACUCAGGGGCUUAGCUGCAGCCCAGUGCUCGCCUAAGUAUCUGAAAUCCUGCCGAGUGGAGAGCAAACCUCCCACUCGGGGGCUUAGCUGCAGCCCGGUGCUCGCCUAAGUAUCUAAAAAAUCCUACCGAGUGGAGAGCAGACCUCUCACUCGGGGGCUUAGCUGCAGCCCAGUGCUCGCCUAAGUAUCUGAAAUCCUACCGAGUGGAGAGCAGACCUCCCACUCGGGGGCUUAGCUGCAGCCCAGUGCUCGCCUAAGUAUCUAAAAAUCCUGCCGAGUGGAGNNNNNNNNNNNNNNNNNNNNNNNNNNNNNNNNNNNNNNNNNNNNNNNNNNNNNNNNNNNNNNNNNNNNNNNNNNNNNNNNNNNNNNNNNNNNNNNNNNNNNNNNNNNNNNNNNNNNNNNNNNNNNNNNNNNNNNNNNNNNNNNNNNNNNNNNNNNNNNNNNNNNNNNNNNNNNNNNNNNNNNAAAAUCCUACCGAGUGGAGAGCAAACCUCCCGCUCGGGGGCUUAGCUGCAGUCUAGUGCUCGCCUAAGUAUCUAGAAUCCUACCGAGUGGAGAGCAAACCUCCCACUCGGAGGCUUAGCUGCAGCCCGACGCUCGCCUAAGUUUUUGAAAAUCCUACCGAGUGGAGAGCAAACCUCUCACUCGGGGGCUUAGCUGCAGCACAGUGCUCGCCUAAGUGUAUUGGGGCACAAGUUGAUUGCAACGAGCGCUUCGCUUUAACCUGCAAAAGACACCUCAAACCAAAUGCAAACAUAUUCAACGUUGAAUCCAAGUUCGGAUAACGCCUAACGGAACCGAAAGUGCUCAGGCGCUAGGCCUGUUAAGGUUUGUCGGUUACAAAACUCACUCGGCAUACCGAGGCAAAUUUAAAGUAUCAAGCUCAGAAGUUUUUUACCCCUCCUGUGGAGGGCUGGAAGGUGCAACAAACUCAUCCAGAUCAAUUCCAUCUGCAAUCCGAGUGGCAGCAGCAAUGAAGGUCUCCAUGAAAAAUCUGAAAUCAUGCUUCUUGGUAUUAGCCACCCUAAGAGCCACCAGCUUGUCCUCUCGUGCAUCCUUGAAGUGGACGCGAACCAGAGACAGAGCAACAUCCACACCGCACCUGGCCGAAGACUUUUUCCACUCCUGCACUCGACUUGGGACCUCGUUCAGUCGAGUCAUCAGAGACUCGAGGUUGCUUUGGAGUGUCUCUCUUGGCCAGAGUGUUGUGUCAAUACGAGAAGUUGCAACUUUCAGCCUUGCGAGAUAGUCGAUGAUAGCAGCAACAUGAGAUUCAAGCCGGAGCACAUUCAUGGCGACUUCAUCUUUCACGGGAGAGUUGAUGGGAUCUAGGUUUACUUCCAGUCGACCAGUUUCCUCUUCAAAGUUCUGGCAAAAUUCUGCAAGCACAACCACCGAGUCAAGACAACAGUCGGAGGUUACAGUUAAAAUAUUUGUUUGAUACAAAAGAUUACCUUCAAGCAUGAGGAACAACUUCUUGGCGAGUCCACCAAGAUAAGCCUCCAGAUCGUUCUUCUUUCUCAUCAAGUCACUGGCCUUGUCAUUCAGGGUGGUCUUGUCACUUUUCAGUCGACUGACCUCCUGGUUGGCAGCAUCAAGAGCAGCUUUCAGAUUGGUGUUUUCUUCUUCAAGCUUGGUCACUGAAGCCAGCUUCUCAUCUGCAAGCUUGGUCUUUUCUAAAGCAGUUUUUUGCAUCUCAGCCAAGUCAAGUUCUUGCUUCUUCAGGGCAUCCCUCACUUUGCCUGCAAAGUUACAGCGAGAUUAGAUUCGGAAACAAGUGAGAGGCAAAGGCAGUCAUCAAAGGCCUCACCAAGCAUACAUUUAGCUUCCUCCUUCGCCUUCGUCGAGUUCUCUUGGGCCAGUUUCAGAUCGAGCUCGAGCUGAAUGUGUUUGUUCUCCAACUCAGUAUAACGAGCCGCAAGGUCACAGGAUUUCUACGAAGAACCAAUCGACAGAUGUCAAAGACAAUUCACUUCCGAGUGAGUAAGGAAAAAUCAUAGCGUUUCUAAGACUACGGUCGAAUACAAACAUUCGACCAUAGUCUCGGGGACUACACCCAGUGGGUGCACUCAGCGUGCCCCCACUAGAGUCGACCAGUGGACCAACAAAAAAAACGGGAAAUGUUCUUCAGACUAUAGUCGACUGCCAGCAGUCGACCACAGUCUCGGGGACUACACCCAGUGGGUGCACUCAGCGUGCCCCCACCGGUCUAUGAAUCUAUUCGACCUAGUCGAGUAAGGAAAAAACUUAAGACAUAAAGCCUAUGGUCGACUGCCAGCAGUCGACCAUAGCCUUGGGGACUACACUCAGUGGGUGCACUCAGCGUGCCCCCACUAAUCCAGAAUUUCAAUUGACACACCCAGUGGGUGUAGGACAAACUCUAAGAAUCUCAGAAAGAAGGAUUUUCAGAUAUCAUAUCCUAACAGAACAGGCAGUGACCGACUAACCUGAACAUUACUCUGAAGAGCCAAACUGGCGUCAUAGGCUGCCUGGCUGGCUUCUCGUAUUGCCUUCACUUUCUCCAUCAUGACCCCCGCUUGGCGUAUUGCUUCUUUAGCAGCACUAGCUUGGUCUUCUGGAAUGGGGUAGGUUGAGAAAAGCGAGGGUUGAGCAGCACUCGACGACGAAGGGCGAGCACUCGUCAACGGCACCGCAAAGGUUACGGUAGGCCGAGUGACAUUGUCUCCACGAUCAACGUCUCGGGGUGUUGGCACAUCCUGAGUCGCCUCGCCAGCAGGCGCUUUCUUGCUCCUCCUCUGCCUUGGUGGUUCCUCGUCAUCGUCGUCGGGAAGGUCAAUAACAACGUUAGAUGAAGCUGCAGAAAGAAUCAAAAUUAGAGACAAUGAGUCAGUCGACUGAAAACGGCAUCACAAGAGUCAUACUAGGUUUUGAGGUAGCAACAUCCUCCAUCUCGUGGUCUUCAGCCCUGGCCGAAGUAUCAGAAGUAGCAGCACUGCAGUUCCAGAAGUCAGUCGAUUGGCCCAUGAGUCGACCAAGAACAAGUUCAUGAAAUGGGGAAAACUCAAGACUACCAUUACCCUGAGAUAGUGGGGAUCACCAUCUUCAUCUUCGGCAAGACCUUCGCAGGUUUCGACGGUGCCACUCGAGAUUGCUUCGGAGCCUUCUCAGUCGGCGCCGGAGAAGUAGUCUGAGGGCGCUUGGUCGACUGCGUACCGGUUGCGACCCCCUUACCACGCUCAAUCGCGGGAUCAUGGACAAGUUUCGAGCGUCUUUCCGAGCGAGGGGGUACAACUUCCUCCUCCUCCUCCUCUUGUUCCUCCUCACCAGAGUCAUCACCUUCAUCAUCGUUGUCGGCAUCCGAAUCCCAAUCCUCCGAGCUUUCGCCCCCACUUCCUUCCUCCUCCUCAGUCGGUGUUUGUGCUCCAUUGGGCAUCGAGUACAACUCCGUGGUGGCCUGUCAGGCAACAAAGCAAGACGAAGAUCACUCAACCGAUUCGCAGCGAAGCAGAAUGAACAAAGCAAGAUUGCAAUUAGAAACAAGUGGCCAUACCGUGUCCGGUGUGUAGGUACAGUCGAGUGGUGGGAUCCUCCUAGCCCCUCGAGGAUUGUCCUCAUUCCCCAUGGUUGCGGCCACCCACCUCUCCAGUGUGGCGUCGUCGACUGCUUCUGGAUGGACCCGAGUGGUGUCUUCAGUACCACAAUACAGCCACAUCGGGUGACCUCGAUACUGAAGUGGUUGGAUGCGCCACCUAAGAAAGACCUCCAGAAGACCCAUACCUGUCACUCCGUCCCUAACGAGUUGGACUACGCGCUCCAUCAGCGUUUUUACCUGAGCUUUCUCCUCAGGAAGCACCUUCAGAGAAGAAGGUUUGUCCACUCGGACCAUGGAAAACGGAGGGAGACCAGUCGACUGCCCCGGCGUCGGCUCGUCUUGGCAGUAAAACCAAGUCGACUGCCACCCUCUGACCGACUCAGGAAGGGUCAUGGCUGGGAAAGUACUCUUAUUCCUCAUCUGAAUCCCAAGACCCCCGCACAUCUGGAUAACCUUAGUCCUCUCGUCACCCAAACUCGCCUUUUUCACCGUCUGAGAACGACAGGUGAAUAUGUGCUUGAAGAGACCCCAAUGAGGUCGACAACCCAGGAAGUUGUCACACAUGGAAAUGAAAGCAGCGAGAUGGGCGAUGGAAUUGGGAGUGAAAUGGUGGAGUUGCACCCCAAAGAAGUUCAAGAACCCUCGGAAGAAAACACUCAGCGGCAGAGAGAAUCCACGAUCUAUAUGAGUGGCUAGGAGAACGCACUCACCCUCCUGCAGCUGCGGUUGACACUCGGUCCUCGGAAGCCGUGCUGACCCGUGGGGGAUCAGACCCUCGUUGGCCAGGUCAUUGAGAUCCUUCUCAGUGAUGGUCGAGCGGAUCUAAUCCCGUUGGACCCAGCCUUUCGGCAGGCGGGAUCUUGACGAAGAUCCACCCCGACUGGAUGCUCUCCCCUUCGCCUUCCCCGCCGUCGUCGCCUUCUUCGCGCGCUCCAAGGCCGCCGUCUUCUCCUUCACCAUUGUUGCCGGCGAAGCGCGCGAGGAGUAGAUAAGCAGAGGUGAGUGCGGGCGCAGUGGGCGGAGGCAGAGAGGGCGGAGAGAAGAAUGGGAAGGCACUGUUCAAAAACCCUCGCCCGACGCUUUAUAUAAAGACACUUCCGAGUGGCUGACGACUAGGCCCGGGCGGUCCUGUCACAUCCCGAAACAGUCGCGCACGCACGAUACGUGGCAAAAAAGGCGGCGCAGAAAUCGAGGCGUCCACGCCUUAUCUCAUCCGAGUACCGUGGUCCGCCCCGUUUCGUGCGCUUCCCAAAAUUCGGAUCCCACAAAAUCCGCUAACGGCAGAUCAAUCUGUCAGACGAUAUCUUUCCUGCGAUCCGUCGCUCGGAAGUUCACUAAAGCUCAAAAGUUCACUCGACAGAAGACAAGAAUGGAUCAAGGCGACUGAAGUAAAAGUUGAAGCCAACGCAGAAAGCGAAAUCGCUGAUCCAGGAUACGACAUAAUCAAAGCACGGGAGAUAGGUCGGAGAAAAUCAUCAACUCCUUCCUCACUCGAACCUCGAUCCAUUCGGGGGCUAAUGAUGAUGUUAUGUACCUAGGGUAGGGUCAUGGACCUAUCUAGGAUACCAUACCCAAGGACAUUCUUAGACGAAGCUACCUUCCAGUCGACCAAGAGGGACUCCACUCGACCGGCUAGAAGACACUCGACCAUGAAGACUCACUCGACCACCAGGAGUUUAGGAUCUACUCUGUAUCCAAACGGUCUGUAAUUAAGUAGUCUUAAUGGUCAUGAUGACACUUUAUGUAGGGCGUUACCAGUAACGCCCAGCCUUAAUGUACUUUAACCCUCUGCUACGUGGGUUGGCUGGGGUCCUGGCGUCCUCUAUAUAAGCCACCCCCCUCCACUGGUAGAAGGGUUCGCACCCCUGUAACUCAUAUACACAUAAACCAGUCGACCACCUCCGGGCUCCGAGACGUAGGGCUAUUACUUCCUCAGAGAAGGGCCUGAACUCGUUAAACACUCGUGUGUACAACUACUCCAUAGCUAGGAUCUUGCCUCUCCAUACCUACCCCCCAUUCUACUGUUAGACUUAGAACCACGACACCUAUUACCCUUGUGGUCCGUCAAGCCAUUCUAUCCCAGAAUGACUAGGAGAAAUGAACUCCAGUACCUCAUCCAUAUCUAGGAUUGGGUCAAAGUAGUCAUACUUUGGAGAUCAAAAUACUAAUCCAGUUUUUGUUCUAUUCUACCCUGAAGUAUUACCCUCUUUAUGUCAAGAAAGUCAUAGGAAUUACACAUCAUCUUAUGAAUUCUUGGUGCAGCGAUACUUCUCGCCAUCAUUAUUCAUUCCUCGGUCCCCGUGUUGUUGAACCGGAAUGCCAAAAAGUGAAUCGUGAUGUGUGAAAUCAAUACUGCCAGCAACCCCGUUGCUUGGUAGUUAAAGGACAAUAAUUUCAUUCUUAGUGUAUUCGUUCUUGAAUCAUCAUUCUAAGAUAGAUCGUGCUACCUAGUCCGUAUUUCCGGUGCACCUUUCGAUCAAUGAGUUGGGACUAUGCCAAUCCCUUGCUUAUUUGAUCAUCUCGUCUUGCCCUGAAAAGCAAGAUUGUUCUCGAGCUUAAUAGCAUAUUGGUGGUUCGUGAUUUUUCGAUUAUCUUCUCGGAAGUAUCACCAGGUUGUCACCUGACUGCUAUGUUGAGCUCGUGACCAAGUUGGUUUUCGAAACCACCCUUUCGCCAAGAAUCUGUGUUGGAUACCCCUGAGCUAGUUGGUUAAGCUAAACGACAACUUGGAGAGUUGGAAGAUAAAAGCUUACCUAACUUAGUUCGUUUCAAAGGGAUAUCCUGGUGUUGGUGCGUUUUGAAGAAAGAUGAUAUCUUCAUUGGUUGAUCCUCAUGGUCAAUUGUUGGAUCUAUUAUCUUAUCCAAUCUUUGAUUUGAGUAUGGGCUAUCGUCAAAUCAAAUCAGAACCAACGAUAUUCGUAAUGUUGUCUUACUCGUGGUUUUUCCUCGAGCAUACACCAUUAUAUUCUUUGGUCUGACCGCUAUCACCGUGUUCAAUUAACUAUGGAAUUCCUUUUAUAUGGAAACCUGGAUGAAUUUUUGUUGAUCCCAUUGACAACAUCCUUAUCUCCUCCAUGAUUUUGUUGAACAUUAAGCUAGUGUUGGAAACUUGUGUAAGCAUUUUCUGCAUGCCCCGUUCAUGAAGUAUAUGUUGGAUGAAAGAAGUGACUUCCUUUGAUUCACGUGCAUUUGAUAUAAGUUGCCGCCAUGAAUUCGAGAAAGUUUGUUUUUGCUCCUCUGGAAUCAUCCCAAGUCAGUCAUGCAUGUGCGAAGUAUUCUAUGGUUUGAUAGACUGAUCAUCUUCAUUCCAUAUGUAUCCCCUAGCACACCAAGCCACUGAUUGAUUUGUUCAAGGAAAGGAAGUUUCUUCUUAAGAGCAUGCCUUAUGCAAGGACUUCAAUAUCAUCAUUGAUGGUUCCCUACUAGAACUCGGUAGUGUUUUAUUGUAAGACUACCAUGUGAUCAUGUUUGUCUGGGACAGCGUGUUCACAUGUUUGUAGCAGAACCAGCUCAUGUUUUGGAGCUUACUACCGUAGUCCAUUUCCUGAGAAUCUCGCAACGUCAUCUCGUCGAUUUGUGUUGCAAACUUUCAUUUUUCCUUCUAGACUUGAUGUGUCUGGAAUAUCCUGACACCAACCAGAUCUAAAUCUCAGGCAGAUAUGAUGGUUGGAACAUUUCCCAAGAACUAUAAUAUUGGUCCCUCGAUAACCGGUAAAGUGGAUGUCGUGGCCAACACACCCAGCCGGAAGACCUAUUAUUGUAGUAUCUUGAUUGAAGAAGUUGGCCACCUUCCCAUAAGGAUUUUGCAGGAUUUACUUCUGUAGUUAUUUCUUAUGGAUUCUUGAGCUUCCGAAGUCCGACCUGUUACUUGAUGUUCCGGAUACCAAACCAUUUCAAUAAAUGGGUAUGUUUCCUUGGCCUCGCUAAGGUGAAAUCUGAGACGGUGUUAUCUUCCUUUGCAUCUGCAUCUCUUCCACCGGUAUUCAUCAUGGUAGUACAUUGUGUUGCUAGGAUCCUUGACACGGAUAUUGGUAAAACCUUGAUGGAUAUGUAAAUGCUCAAGUUCUUGAGAGCAUGCACAAAUGCUAGGUGUUAUCAUCGGCACUAACUGGGAUUGCUCUCAGUUUCCUCAGUUAUGCUAUAACUUUUCAAACAGUGGACUCACUCUCCACUGUUGAGCUUCUCCCCAGUUACUAAAAACACCGCUUGUGUUGUUUUCAACAAGGUAAUCCACAUCAUCCAUUCUAGUUCGAGCAUGUCAUUCUUUUGAACUCCUUCAAGUGACCGUUUGUGAUUUUCCUUGGGUUGGUAUAAAGAGUUUCAAUGAUCUUUGAAUCAAAGGUAAUUCUUUUUGCCACCUAAGGGGAUAUAUCUAUGAGUCACCAUCCCUAAGGUGUCUCGUUGUGGUGUCAUGGCAACUCAACUCCUCGCUACGUUGACAACCGUUCACCACCCUCUUAGGUGUGGAAUUGUUGUCUACCUAGUGAACCCUCGUCAUCUGUUCCACUCCAUCCCUCUAGAUGUGUGCUUCGUGUCUUAGUCCGAGAGAUGUUGCUAUGUCUCAUUCCGUGAGUUAAUCUUGAGUUGUUCGAUCUUUGAGAAGAUCGAUCCUUCUAGAGUCUCCUUCUUCUCUCCUUGUCAUGUUAGCUGGAGUUCUCAGAACAAGACGACAAGACAAAGAUGGUGAUUGAAUCAACGCCCUUUUGAAGUGCAACCUAAAUCAUGAAGUUUGUGCUAGCUUUGUGUCCCUUCUGUCUUCUUACCUCACGUCUUGAAUCUCGGGACGAGAUUCUUGUUUAGUGGGGGUGAGCUGUCACAUCCCUAGAUCUGUUAUGCUCUGGUCUAGUUAGUCCUACGCUGCAUCAUGUUUAAAUUUCUUUUAAACCAGAAAUGGGGAUUGCCUAAACCCUAGCAUCAAAGGAAUUCACUAGGUUCAACUAAAAUAAUUUCAGUGAAUCCAAAUGGCUUUCAAAAAUGUUCAUCAUUUCUGGAAAAUGCUAGAAACAAUAACCAGAGGUGUUGCACAUUUUUCCAUGACAUAUUUGGGCUCUGAAUUAAAUCUUAUAGUAUUUGCAUUUGGGCAUUUAAAUGCUAUUAAAUAUUUUAAAUGCUCAAAUAGUCAUAAACUAAAAUGUUUACUGUUGGAUAUAUUCCAAACAAUAGUCAUGAUUAGUUUCAUGAUUUUUGGAAAUUCCCUCGCAUUUUUAUUAAAGCCAAACACAAUUACAGAAAAUAGAAAAUGGAAAUAAAAGGAGAGAGAGAGGUUACCUGUGCAACUUACCUGGCAGCCCAGCUGGCCCAGCACUAUAGCUGAGGCCCAGCCCACUAGGGCGAAGCGGUCGUCUUCAACCCCUGCCAGUAGGCAGAGGCGUGUCGACGCGCGAGGGAUCACCGUGGCCACCUCCCUGCUUGCUUCCUCUCUUCGCUGACCCUUCUCGAGACGCCACGGAGACGCUCGAACCUCCUGGACCCCUCUCACUCUCCCUGUGCUCCUCCUCCUCCUCUGUUUCUCUCUCCCGCAUAGCCCGAGCGCGGCCAUCACCGCCGUCCGCACCACCGCAGCCAUAGCCGACCCCGUGCCUCUCCGUGCUGACAAUGCCGUCUGCCUCGACGCCGUGAAGUUUUCCCCUCAACAAGCGCAAGCCCAGACGCCCUGCAACACCGACACCACCGUCGCCUUCCUCCUCGGGCUCCGACCACCACUGCCGUCCAUUCGCCGCACGCAGGACGCCCCCGAGCCCGCCGAGCUUCUCUCCGACCUCGCAGUGAGCUCCUUAUCCUAACCCCUCUCUUUUCCCUCGCAUUUGUGAGCUCCAGGACGCAUCUCCGCCAUGGCCGAGAGCUCGGCUCCGCCGCGCAUGUCGUCAUCGCCGUUCUAGCCGCCUCCGCUUGCGUCCGAGCCCACCCUCGUGAUCAGCAAGCCCCCAGGAGUCAAACGCACCCACUCACCUGUUCUUUUGUGCCCCGUAGCGCCGUCUCGAAGCACCUCCGAGCUCCGGUCGCCCGGCUCGUCGCCGCCGCAGUUACACGCCGCCCUGGCUCCUUCUGCUUGCGCCCCUAGAUGCGGGUGAGCGAGGGCUCCCUCUUGGUGCCCUCAGCGCACUCAGCCGCUGCCCCUAGCACCACCCCGGCGAGCCGCCGCCGCACUGGAUGGUCGCCGGCGGCCUAACCCCGGCCAUGACGACGUGGUACGUCAUUAGGGGCUAACCACCACGCUUUAAAACCCCCAGGGGUCAAUGACAGCCGGGCCCCAUACCUUAAUUAACCACAGGGUUAUUUCCCUCUUUAACUUAAGCUAAUGUCGUGGGCCCACCUGUUAGUUUGACCUCGCCACCUCAGCGUUGACCUGGCCCCACUGGUCAGCCUCUCCUGCGACACUGUUAGACUGACAUGCGGGACCCACAGGUCAGGUUUGACCUGGGUCAGCGCAGUUGACCUGUUGACGUCACGCUGAUGCAGUAUUUGAUUUCUGGAUUUAUUUUAGUUCAGAAAAUUCCAGAAAAUGCUAUAAACUUCUAAAAAUCAUAGAAAAUCUACCGUAACUCAGAAUGAAAUAAGUUAUAUAUGAAAAAUGAUCAGAAAAAUCCAAUCUAUCCAUCUGUACCAUUUUCAUGCAUGUUAGAACAACUAUAGCUGCUGUUUAGCACAAAUCAUAUAAAUGGCAUUUAAACCUUCACAUAUGGAGUUUGAAUUUGAAUCUUGGAUUCAAACCAACUUCAUUUAAUCUGUUCUAAGUUGCAUUAGCCAAAACACACUCAUUUUUCCAUGUCAUAUUCAUGCAUCAUAUUGUUGCAUUGCAUUGAUUGUGUUUCUUCUUUGUUUGUCGGUAUUUGUCCCCUCUCAGUAGACGAUGUUCCGACGAUGAGUUCGAUGACACCGAUGAAGAACUAUACUAUCUUCAGAAGUGCCAGGCAAGCAAAAACCCCUUGUUCAUUCCGAUACAAUCCCACUCUCUCGCUCCUGCUCUCUUUUACUACAUUAGGACAACAACGAUUCAUUUGUUACUUGCUGCGGUAGCUGAACCCCUUUAUCCUCUGCAUGACUUGUCAUUGCCACAGUAAAUAGAUGAAACCCACUAGCAUGAGUAGGAGUUGUUUGAGCCCUGAUGUGCCUACUCAUUCAUGCUUGUUUGUCAUGCCUGCUAUUGCUUAGAGUUGUGUCAGGUCUGAUUCAUCGAGGAUGAAUUGGAGGUGUGUGAACAUGUCCUACUGUUGAGAGCUAAGUGUGUGAACACGAUUUGGUAAAGGUAGCGGUGAGAGGCCAUGUAGGAGUACAUGGUGGGUUGUCUCAUUGAAGCCGUCCUUAGGAACUGAGUUCUGUGUUUGUGAUCCAUGAACAAUUACUACCACACAUUGGGCUCCGGGCACUCCAAGCUCUCUCGACUUAUUAAUCAACUUGAUCUCUGUCCAGGAGUUGCAACUAGUUUCUGGUGUUUGUAGGUAGUGUUAGUAGUCUACCAAGUGGCACCCGGUACAGGUGGGCUUGGGACAGACUAGGCACCGUGGCACGGUGUACCAAGCGUAGAUCCACCCGUCGAGGUGGGCUUGGGAACCCUGCACACAUCGUUUGGGGCCGUGAGCGACACCCCGGCCGGAUCUCCUUGCGGAUGGAACUCGAAUAGGCGAUAAACCUGGACGAGAGACUUGUGUGGUUAGUCAAGUCAUGGCCGACACCCUCGAUGGGCUUCCGCUUGAAGGUUGCCGAGUACAUGUCGUGUAAACGGCAGUAAGUGGUGAGAGCGUGUGUGAAGAAGUACACCCCUGCAGGGUUAACAUUAUCUAUUCGAAUAGCCGUGUCUGCGGUAAAGGACUUCUGGGUUGCCUGUACAGUUCAUAGACGAGUGAAAGUGGAUACUCUAAAAUACGCAAGAUAAGCGUGAGUGCUAUGGAUGGCCUUCUCGUAGGGAGACGGGAGCGGAUCCAUAGUAGUGUAUUGAUAUGGUGAAUAUGUGGACUCAUGUGCACCACCUCAAAAGAGUUACUUGCAGUCGUAGUUCAGGAGAGCCACCGAGUCAAAGCUGGCUUGCUGCAGUUAAACCCCACCAUCCCCUUGUUUAUAAUGAUGCAUAUGUAGUUAGAUCUGAUGUAAGUCUUGCUGGGUACAUUUGUACUCACGUUGCUUAAUUUAUGUUUUUGCAGAGAGACUUCAGUCUCACUAGUAGUUCCACGUGGACUUCGACGUUUAGCUUGUUACCUCAGCUACGAUCUUGUGCCCUCGGCAGGAUCUGGUAGAUAGUCAGGCUUCUCAGCCUUUUUCAUUUGUAGAUGUCUGUACUCGGACAUGUUAAGCUUCCGCAUGUGCUUUGACUUGAAUGCUCUGAUUGUUGGGUCAUGAGACCCAUGAUUGUAAUAUCUCGCUCCUCGGAGCCUAUUGAAUAAAAUACUUGAGUCGUAGAGUCAUGUUGUGAUGCCAUAUUGUAUUUGCACAUAUCGAGCAUAUUGUGUGUAUGUUAUUGAAAUGCUUGGUAUGUGUGGGAUCUGACUAUCUAGUUGUUUAUCCUUGGUAGCCUCUCUUAUUGGGAAAUGUUUCCUAGUGCUUCCACUGAGCCUUGGUAGCUUGCUACUGCUCCGGAACACUUAGGCUGGCCGGCAUGUGUCCUUCUUCGUUCCUGUGUCUGUCCCCUCGGGGAAAUGUCACGCGGUGUCUACCGGAGUCCUGUUAGCCUGCUACAGCCUGGUUUGCCGGAGUCCUGCUAGCCCAGUUGCUACAGCCCGGAUUCACUCGCUGAUGACCGACACGUUCGUUGUUGGGUCAUGUAUGCCUGUCCCUGUAAGUUAGUACCACUUUGGGUUCACGACUAGCCAUGUCAGCCCGGGUUCUUUGUCAUAUGGAUGCUAGUGACACUAUCAUAUACAUGAGCCAAAAGGCGCAAACGGCCCCGGGCCAGGUAAGGUGGCACCCGUGGGAAUACCGUGCGUGAGGCCGCAAAGUGAUAUGAUGUGUUACAUGCUAGAUCGGUGUGACUUAGGAUUGGGGUCCUGACAGGAACAGUCAAAGAAAGAGUUCUUGCCUGUGUUGCAAAGGUGUGAAAUUGAGUAAGACUCAAAUCCCGACCACGGCAAAAAAUAGAAAAGAAGAAUGGAAGUCAUUACCUAUGCCUCAGUCAUAGGUUCUAUAAAGUAUGCUAUGCUGUAUACCAGACCUAUUGUAUACCUUGCUCUGAGUUUGGCAAAGGAAUACAAUUUUGAUCUAAUAGUAGAUCACUGGACAGCGAUCAAGAAUAUCCUUAGUGAGGACUAAGGAGAUGUUUCUCGAUUAUGGAGGUGAUAAAAGAGUUCGUCGUAAAAGUUACAUUGAUGCAAACUUUUACACUGAUCCAGAUGACUCUAAGUCUCAAUCUGGAUACAUAUUGAAUGUGGGAGCAAUUAGCUAGAGUAGCUCCGUGCAGAACAUUGAAGACAUAGAAUAUUUACAAAAUACAUACGGCUCUGAAUGUGACAGACCCGUUGACUAAACUUCUCUCACGAGCAAAACAUGAUCAUACCUUAGUAAUCUUUGGGUGUUAAUCACAUAGCGAUGUGAACUAGAUUAUUGACUCUAGUAAACCCUUUGGGUGCUAAUCACAUGACGAUGUGAACUAUGGGUAUUAAUCACAUACAGAUAUGAAUAUUGGUGUUAAAUCACAUGAUGAUGUGAACUAGAUUAUUGACUCUAGUGCAAGUGGGAGACUGAAGGAAAUAUGCCCUAGAGGCAAUAAUAAAGUUAUUAUUUAUUUCCUUAUUUCAUGAUAAAUGUUUAUUAUUCAUGCUAUAAUUGUAUUAACCAGAAACAUAAUACAUGUGUGAAUACAUAGACAAACAUAGUGUCACUAGUAUGCCUCUACUUGACUAGCUCGUUAAUCAAAGAUGGUUAAGUUUCCUAACCAUAGACAUGAGUUGUCAUUUGAUUAAUGGGAUCACAUCAUUAGAAGAAUGAUGUGAUUGACAUGACCAAUUCCGUUAGCCUAGGACUUGAUCGUUUAGUAUAUUGCUAUUGCUUUCUUCAUGACUUAUACAUGUUCCUGUAACUAUGAGAUUAUGCAACCCCCGUUUACUGGAGGAACACUUUGGGUGCUACCAAACGUCACAACGUAACUGGGUGAUUAUAAAGGAGUACUACAGGUGUCUCCAAAGGUACAUGUUGGGUUGGCGUAUUUCGAGAUUACGUUUGUCACUCCGAUUGUCGAAGAGGUAUCUCUGGGCCCUCUCGGUAAUGCACAUCACUAUAAGCCUUGUAAGCAAUGUAGCUAAUGAGUUAGUUACGGAAUGAUGCAUUACGUAACGAGUAAAGAGACUUGCCAGUAACGAGAUUGAACUAGGUAUUGGAUACCGACAAUCGAAUCUCGGGCAAGUAACAUACCGAUGACAAAGGGAACAACGUAUGUUGUUAUGCGGUUUGACCGAUAAAGAUCUUCGCAGAAUAUGUAGGAGCCAAUAUGAGCAUCCAGGUUCCGCUAUUGGUUAUUGACCGAGAAUAGUUCUAGGUCAUGUCUACAUAGUUCUCGAACCCGCAGGGUCCGCACGCUUAACGUUACGAUGACAGUUUUAUUAUGAGUUUAUAAGUUUUGAUGUACCGAAGGUUGUUUGGAGUCCCAGAUGUGAUCACGGACAUGACGAGGAGUCUCGAAAUAGUCGAGACAUAAAGAUUGAUAUAUUGGAAGCCUAUAUUUGGAUAUCGGAAUGGUUCCGGGUGAAAUCGGGAUUUUACCGGAACACCGGGGGGUUACCGGAACCCUCCCGGGGGUUAAUGGGCCUUAGUGGGCCAUGAGGGAGAAGAGGAGGGCCGGCCAGGGCAGGCCGCGCGCCCCCUCCCCCUUUAGUCCGAAUAGGACAAGGAAGGAGGGGGGCGCCCCCCUUUCCUCUUUCCCCUCCCCCUUUCCUUCUCCACCAAGGCAAGAGGGGGGAGUCCUACUCCCGAUGGGAGUAGGACUCCUCCAGGCGCACCCCUAGGGGGCAAGCCGCACCUCCCCCCUCCCUCCUUUAUAUACGGGGGCAGGGGGCACCCUAGAAGACACAAGUUGAUCUACAUGAUCGUUCCUUAGACAUGUGCGGUGCCCCCCUCCACCAUAUUCCACCUCGGUCAUAUCGUCGCGGAGUUUAGGCGAAGCCCUGCGCCGGUAGAACAUCAUCAUCGUCACCACGCUGUCGUGCUGACGGAACUCAUCCCCGACACUUUGCUAGAUCAGAGUCCGGGGAUCAUCAUCGAGUUGAACGUGUGCUGAACUCGGAGGUGCCGUACGUUCGGUACUUGGAUCGGUCGGAUCGUGAAGACGUACGACUACAUCAACCGCAUUGUCAUAACGCUUCCGCUUACGGUCUAUGAGGGUACGUGGACAUUACUCUCCCCUCUCGUUGCUAUGCAUCACCAUGAUCUUGCGUGUGCGUAGGAAUUUUUUUGAAAUUACUACGUUCCCCAACACUGGGUGCCGCGUAUGUAUCAGAGGAUAUGCUUCACCAGAGUCCAGUGAGAGUCACGCGGAGCAUGUAUGUGAAGACAGACCUGCUGAACAGCAUACUGCAAGUCGGGGCGCGUCAGGGUCAUGUACUGCAAGGCACCCACAAUGGAGUGGUAGAAGGCCGCAUCAGAUGCGGGCAAACCCUCCAAAGCGGAAACCUUGGCCUUGGUGUCGACGGGCGUGGGAGCAGGCUUGCAGUUAAGCAUGCCAGCUCGAUCGAGAAGCUCAUGGGCGUAGCGUUGCUGAUGCAGGAAGAACCCAUCUGGCCUUCGAACCACCUCAAUGCCAAGGAAGUAAUGCAGGGGACUCAAGUCCUUCAGGGCAAACUCAUCACGAAGACGAGCAGUGAGCCGCUGGAGGAGCGCGACAGUGGAUGCCGUCAGAAUGAUGUCAUCAACGUACAACAGCAAGUAGGGCGUGUCAAUCCUAUUCUGUUUCGGUUAAUCCUAUUCUGUUGCAUAACCUACCAUUAUUGCUACAAUUGUUGAUGCCUUACCUGCAAUCAUAAAUGCUUAGUAUACGGUGCUAGUUUAUCAUCUGUGGCCCUACAUUCUUUUCCGUCUGCCUUGCUAUACUAUCGAGCCGUGAUCACUCGGGAGGUGAUCACGGGUAUAUACUGUACAUACAUACAUACUAUAUAGAUGGUGACUAAAGUCGGGUCGGCUCGUAGAGUACCCGCGAGUGAUUCAUGGAUUGGGGGCUGAAAGGACAUUUGUCCCGACGGCCCUCUGUGUGGAUCUUUGUGGCAGAGCGACAAGGCGGGUUGAGACCACCUAGGCGAUAGGUGGGCCUGGCACUGAUCGGUGUCCGCGGUUACUUCAAAAUAACACGCUUAACAAGAUCUUCGUAUUUGAUCUGAGUCUGGCCACUGGCCUAUACGCACUAGCCAACUACACGGGAACAGUUAUGGGCACUCGACGUCGUGGUAUCAACCGAAGCCUUCUUGACGUCAGCGGCUAAGCGGCGCGUGCCAGGUUGGACUGGAACGCCUACCCUUGUAUAAGGGAGGCUACGUCUGCUCACCGGCCGCGUUCGCAACAUGCAGGUGUGCAAUGGGCGACGGGCCCAAACCCCUGCGCGCAUAAGAUUUAGACCGGCGUGCUGACCUCUCUGUUGUGCCUAGGUGGGGCGGCGACGUGUUGAUCUUCCGAGGCUAGGCAUGACGCAGGAAAGUGUGUCCGGCCAGAGGGAUCGAGCAUGUUGGGAAAUGUGGUGCACCCAUGCAGGGAAGUUUAUCUAUUCGAAUAGUCGUAUCCCUCGGUAAAAGGACUACCCGGAGUUGUACCUUGACCUUAUGACAACUAGAACCGGAUACUUAAUAAAACACACCCAGACAAGUUCCAGAGACAACCCGGUGAUCGCUUUCCCAUAGGGUGACGAGGGGAGGAUCGCCGGGUAGGAUUAUGCUAUGCGAUGAUACCUGGUGGACUUCAAUCUACUCUCUUCUACAUGCUGCAAGAUGGAGGCUGCCAGAAGCGUAGUCUUUGAUAGGACUAGCUAACCCCCUCUUAUUCUAGCAUUCUGCAGUUCAGUCCACCGAUAUUGCCUCUUUACACUAAUACCCAUGCAUAUGUAGUGUAGAUCCUUGCUUGCGAGUACUUUGGAUGAGUACUCAAGGUUGCUUUGCUCCCUCUUUCCCCCAUGUUCCCCUUCUUCCCGGACGUCGCAACCAGAUGUUGGAGCCCAGGAGCCAGACGGCACCAUUGACAACGACUCCUACUACACAGGAGGUGCCUACUACUACGUGUAGGCCGCUGAUGACGACCAAGCGUAGUUUAGGAGGAUCCCAGGUAGGAGGCUUGCGCCUCUUUCUAUCUGUAUCCCAGUUUGUGCUAGCCAUCUUAUGGCAACUUGUUUAACUUAUAUCUGUACUAUGAUAUUGUUACUUCCGCUGACUCGUUUAUGUUCGAGCACUUGUAUUCAAGCCCUCGAGGCCCCUGGCUUAUAAUAUGAUGCUUGUAUGACUUAUUUUACUUUUAGAGUUGCGUUGUGAUAUCUUACAAUGAGUCCCUGAUCUUGAUCGUACACAUUUGCGUGCAUGAUUAGUGUAUGAUUGAAUCAAGGGCGUCACAGCACUCUCAGGCCUCAAUGUGUCGAUCAUCAGCCGGCGACGCGAGAGGUGGCCCGCGCUCCUCCUGCCUACUGCAAGCGAAGAUGACGGCGAUGACAUGGGGGACGACCGGCGAUGCGAGAGGUGGCCCGCGCUCCUUCUGCCUACUGCACGCGAGGAUGACAACGAUGACGUGGUGGACGGACGACGACGCGAGAGGUGGCUCACGCUCCUCCUGCCUACUGCACGCGAGGAUGACGACAUCGACGUGGAGGACGGGGAUGGAUGGGCUCGGCUGAGGCAGCGGCUGGCUGGGCAUAGGAGAUGGCGGUCGCGUGGGGUUGACUGCGAAAGGGGGUGGGAGGAAAAGAGGUGCGCCAGGGGUGAGAUUGACGGCUAGGGUUCUCGCCCAAUCCAUUAUCUCCUCGACUUUACACACAGACAAGCCACCCAUGGAGCGCCACACAAGGGAAGGAACAUGAAAUCUCAAACACCCUCGGCGGGCAAGCCAAAUAUCAGGCGGUGGCACGGGUGCAACGCAGACACGGCCACACAUUGGCAGGAAUACCCGCCACAGCCGCUGACGGGCGUGUCCCACACCGCCUGGGCCCCUCGUGUCAGCUUAAUACAUGAAGGCAGAGAGAGUGCAAAAGGGCGGGCUACUAUUAAUUAUAGUAGUGUUUUCACUCGAUCGGAUGGUCAGGAUCUGUCCACCUGGAGAUCCGACAGACAUGAUUCGUUCGGGGGCGCGAUCGACGGCUGAGAGGGCACAUGGCCUGAGAAGGCUUCAUUUAUCUUCAGACUCUAACAAUGGGAUUGUUCAUGUCUUCUAAGUGGUCAUGAAUUUUAUAAAUCAGAAAGAAACACAUUUGCAUGCAAAGAGGAAAUGUAUCUUUGGAUACUCUAAGAAAGAACAAUUUAGGGUACACUUGAUUCGCAGAUUUUUCAAAAUGUAGGAAUAUGAAAAAUACAAGAUUGAAGUGCCAUGUCAUACUGAACCUGGUACUAGAUUAGUGAACCCAAGGAAUUUUGAGUAUUUGAUGUCACAAAAAAACAAAAAUAUAUUGUAUAAAGAGGCUUGAGUGGAUAAGAAAAUUCCUCCAAAAUAAAGCAUCCCUAGAAAAUUAGUACAAGGAUACAACCCCUACAAAAUUCGCAUGAAGUUCCUUUGUAUCAAAAUUCAUAUGUGCAUUUUUACACCCCACCCACGGAUCAGUGCCACAACACACCUCACCCCAUCCAAUCACGUCAUGCCAACCCCCGCCCCACGGAUCGCCCCCCAUGAUCCGUGUGCUCACCUCGAAGCCCAAUCCCAGUCAUCCAUCUCCCUCCGAUCCAACGCCCCAAACUUNNNNNNNNNNNNNNNNNNNNNNNNNNNNNNNNNNNNNNNNNNNNNNNNNNNNNNNNNNNNNNNNNNNNNNNNNNNNNNNNNNNNNNNNNNNNNNNNNNNNNNNNNNNNNNNNNNNNNNNNNNNNNNNNNNNNNNNNNNNNNNNNNNNNNNNNNNNNNNNNNNNNNNNNNNNNNNNNNNNNNNNNNNNNNNNNNNNNNNNNNNNNNNNNNNNNNNNNNNNNNNNNNNNAUCCCUCUCCCCUAUCUAUUUAACCCUUGCGCCUCCCACCCCAGACCACACCACAGCUCAAAUCCCGCGCCGACAAAGCAUCCCCACUCAAACCCUAGCCUCUGUCCCCCUCCUGCUUCGAUGGCCCGCACGAAGCAGACAGCGUGCUCGACUACGGGGAGGAGGAGCCAGAGGAGGAGAAGGAGGAGGAGCCAGUGCCUGCUCCGGCGAGGAAAGGGAGAAAGAAGAAGCGGGCGGCCAGGAUCGGCGAGCCGCGCGUCAAAAGAGGAUGAGUGCCUCACCGAAGCGUGGAAAAUCGUCUGCCUCGACCCGAUCACCGGUACGAACCAGAACGUCGACACGUAUUGGGAGCGCAUCAAGUCCGAGUUCGACGAGCGCAAGCUCGUUGACCCCUACUUCAAGGGCGUCCACAUGCAGCGCGGCUCGAAGGCCAUGGCGAAUCAUUGGGCCAUCAUCCAAACGGCGUGCAACAAAUGGCAUGGGAUCGUCGAGGAGAUCACGGCUUGCCCGGAGAGCGGUGCCAACAUUGAGGGUCAGGCAUGACACGCUUGUCUCGCGCUCAUUCUUUCGUCGUGGUACGCCGUCGUCUGUUGUUCUUCGGCGCAAAUGGUGCAGAUGUUCGUCAUGUAUCGCCAGGACAGCAGCACCGACGCUGAUUUCAAGUACCUCCACGCGUUCUCCCGGAUCAAGAAGUGGGCGGAAGUCCGACGCACCCUCGCUAAGGCCAAGGAGACGUACAAGCCGGACGCGCCGACGCCAGGCGCGUCAGAUGGGCGCCCGGACGGGAACAAGCAAUCCAAGACGGUGAAGGAUGCCGCGCCGGCUAUCGCGUGCCUGCAAGAGUCCAUCGAGCAGUGCAUCGUCGACGCCCAGACCCGCGCUGCCUAGAGGGAAGAGAAAACCAAGGAGAGAUGGUCGGCGUUGAUGCUGAACAAUGCCGUCAAGCUCGACCUGCUCCGGACCAACGUCGCCGCAAAGAAGAGGAACACCGGCUUGGCUUUCUUGAUUGGGAAGGUGGGGACAUGCCGGCGAUGGACGAGCAGGUCAAGGCGUGGUACUUGGCGGAGCAUGGCCUCAUCCUCAAUCAGAUGCCGUCGACGGCGCCAACUCCCACGCCGACCCCAACGCCGCCGCCUAGCCUGAGCGAUGAUGCCUCCACGGCGCCCAACACAAAAGCCGCACCGACGCCGUCCAGCCCGCACACGCUGACUCCCACCAGUCCGAUGCCGGAGGCCGCCGCCGCCGUUUGAUGCAUUGCCUAUGCGUCUUUUCUUUUUUGCACGCCGAACUUUUUAUUGAUCGCCGAACUAUGGCAAGGUGACCGCCGAUCGCCGGGACUUUGUUGCGUUGAUCGCCGGACUUGUGGGGUUUUUUGGUAGCGGGAAUGGACAAGUUUGAAUUACCGACGCCUUCGGCGCGGCACCCGGGGGCGUGGCUGGGACCUCGAUCGCCCCGAGGGCCUAAAAAUCGCCAAGCGUGCGUCUGAAAUAGCGCCGGCCUAUGCACUAGGGGGCCGAACGAGUGGAGUUGCUCUUAGGCCGUGUGACUUUAUUCAUAAAACGGGAUGAAAACAUAUUUUGACAAGAAUAUCUACUAUCUCUUCCAUCUCCACUAGAACAUGUAACAUAUGGUUUGCGAUUACCACAUGUAUGACCGGACAUGACUAUCUUCUUCUCAGUUUUCGACACUUCUCAACAACUAACAAAGAAUAUAAAAUGAUGUUCACAAAAAAAAAA